rnacentral:lncRNA from 1 species
CCGCAAGCGCUAUUUGGCCGCAGCGGCACACCCAAAGGGCGUCCGCCGCAAGGCAACAGUUAUCCGAAGCACCACUUCCCGUAGGUCGGGUACUAGCACGCAAGCACUCUUAACCCAGCGAUUCGAAGCCAUACGAGGGACGGGACAUGGCGCCGGUAGUCGGCCGCAGUACAACGGGGGAUCUACCGGCAGACACGGGUCCAAAGCUACUCAUGCGCUUAGUAGCCAACAAGCGGUCAAACCAACCAAGCCUUCGCCCGUGCAGAGCAUGGGAGGAUCACUUGCACGAAGGCGUCCUGCAAGGCCAAAUCACGCGUGUGUCACACCCGCAGCAAUAAAGUUACGGAUGCAACGAUUUUCCGAAGGCAACUUAAUCGGGACGUCGGUGCAAUGUUGUUCGACGGUCUUAUCAUGCACGAAACGGGCUACUUUCCUGUUUCCCGAGCCGCAUUCGGCUGUUGGGUCAGAACUUCACUUGAGACGUACAGGGGACCGGGACAGCGAUGACGUUGCCCACGGAGGGCAACGGUUUUCCGGAGGCGACAUUCGAGGGACACCGUUGCGACUGUUUACCGUCGGUCGGAUCAUGUACGUAACGGGGUACUUUCCUAUUUCCCGAGCCACGUUCGGCUGUAGGGUCAGGAUUUCUCACGAGACGUACACGGGACUGGGCCAGCACCUUCGUGAUGGCAUAACGACGGGACAUCCGAGGCAACGUUGGGAAAGGAUGGGCGUACGAGAAAACGGGUGUUUUUCCUAAGAAAAACCACCCGUGUUCCGUACGCCCAUCAGGAAGGACCCCUCCUCCCUACUAUACCUCAGGGUUUUAGCCCCCAUUGGGACCCCUGCCCUACAGUUUGUGAAGGAGGGGUACACUGUUUUGAAACGCUUCCGUGGCAGCGUGUGUCUGCCACGAGACAUGUUUUCACUGGCAUGGCACCGUUUCUUGACCGUCAUUAGCUAGUUUUGACCCGGUUUCCAUGGCGUAUGGGCCUUUUUUCUCCCGGACCUCUCGUACCGUUCACGUGUCAGUGUACGUGCCUGUGACUCGUAUGAGGUUUUGCCCAGUUUUCCAUGGCGCGCGUCCGGUUAAGUCCACGACGGGCGUCGGCCAGUUUUUUCCCGUGUCCACGUACAGCCCGUUCACGGGUCAGUGUACGUGUGUGUGCCUCAUAUGUGGUUUUGUCAUGUUUUCCAUUGCGCGCGUCCGGUUCCGACCAUGACGGGCGUCGGCCGCUUUUUUCCCGUGUCCACGUACCACCCGUUCACACGUUCGUGUAAGGGUCAUUGUACGUGUGUGUGCCUCAUACGUGGUUUUGCCCAGUUUUCCAUGGCGCACAUCCCAUUCCGUCCACGNNNNNNNNNNNNNNNNNNNNNNNNNNNNNNNNNNNNNNNNNNNNNNNNNNNNNNNNNNNNNNNNNNNNNNNNNNNNNNNNNNNNNNNNNNNNNNNNNNNNNNNNNNNNNNNNNNNNNNNNNNNNNNNNNNNNNNNNNNNNNNNNNNNNNNNNNNNNNNNNNNNNNNNNNNNNNNNNNNNNNNNNNNNNNNNNNNNNNNNNNNNNNNNNNNNNNNNNNNNNNNNNNNNNNNNNNNNNNNNNNNNNNNNNNNNNNNNNNNNNNNNNNNNNNNNNNNNNNNNNNNNNNNNNNNNNNNNNNNNNNNNNNNNNNNNNNNNNNNNNNNNNNNNNNNNNNNNNNNNNNNNNNNNNNNNNNNNNNNNNNNNNNNNNNNNNNNNNNNNNNNNNNNNNNNNNNNNNNNNNNNNNNNNNNNNNNNNNNNNNNNNNNNNNNNNNNNNNNNNNNNNNNNNNNNNNNNNNNNNNNNNNNNNNNNNNNNNNNNNNNNNNNNNNNNNNNNNNNNNNNNNNNNNNNNNNNNNNNNNNNNNNNNNNNNNNNNNNNNNNNNNNNNNNNNNNNNNNNNNNNNNNNNNNNNNNNNNNNNNNNNNNNNNNNNNNNNNNNNNNNNNNNNNNNNNNNNNNNNNNNNNNNNNNNNNNNNNNNNNNNNNNNNNNNNNNNNNNNNNNNNNNNNNNNNNNNNNNNNNNNNNNNNNNNNNNNNNNNNNNNNNNNNNNNNNNNNNNNNNNNNNNNNNNNNNNNNNNNNNNNNNNNNNNNNNNNNNNNNNNNNNNNNNNNNNNNNNNNNNNNNNNNNNNNNNNNNNNNNNNNNNNNNNNNNNNNNNNNNNNNNNNNNNNNNNNNNNNNNNNNNNNNNNNNNNNNNNNNNNNNNNNNNNNNNNNNNNNNNNNNNNNNNNNNNNNNNNNNNNNNNNNNNNNNNNNNNNNNNNNNNNNNNNNNNNNNNNNNNNNNNNNNNNNNNNNNNNNNNNNNNNNNNNNNNNNNNNNNNNNNNNNNNNNNNNNNNNNNNNNNNNNNNNNNNNNNNNNNNNNNNNNNNNNNNNNNNNNNNNNNNNNNNNNNNNNNNNNNNNNNNNNNNNNNNNNNNNNNNNNNNNNNNNNNNNNNNNNNNNNNNNNNNNNNNNNNNNNNNNNNNNNNNNNNNNNNNNNNNNNNNNNNNNNNNNNNNNNNNNNNNNNNNNNNNNNNNNNNNNNNNNNNNNNNNNNNNNNNNNNNNNNNNNNNNNNNNNNNNNNNNNNNNNNNNNNNNNNNNNNNNNNNNNNNNNNNNNNNNNNNNNNNNNNNNNNNNNNNNNNNNNNNNNNNNNNNNNNNNNNNNNNNNNNNNNNNNNNNNNNNNNNNNNNNNNNNNNNNNNNNNNNNNNNNNNNNNNNNNNNNNNNNNNNNNNNNNNNNNNNNNNNNNNNNNNNNNNNNNNNNNNNNNNNNNNNNNNNNNNNNNNNNNNNNNNNNNNNNNNNNNNNNNNNNNNNNNNNNNNNNNNNNNNNNNNNNNNNNNNNNNNNNNNNNNNNNNNNNNNNNNNNNNACGACGGGCGUCGGCCACUUUUUUCCCGUGUCCACGUACUGCCCGUUCACGGGUCCGUGUAACGGUCCGUGUACAGGUGUGUGCCUCGUACGUGGUUUUGCCCUGUUUUCCAUGGCGUGCGUCCCGUUCCGUCCACGACGGGCGUCGGCCGCUUUUUUCUCGUGUCCACGUACAGCCCGUUCACGGGUCCGUGUAAGGGUCUGUGUACGUGUGUGUGCCUCGUACGUGGUUUUGCCCAGUUUUCCAUGGCGCGCGUCCACGUCCGUCCACGACGGGCGUCGGCCAGUUUUUUUCCCGUGUCCCCGUAUAGCCCGUUCACGGGCCCGUGUAAGAGUCCGUGUACGUGGUUUUGCCUAGUUUUCCAUGGUGCGCGUGCAGUUCCAUCCACGACUCCUACCUGUGUCUUCCUUAACACGUUCUUUGUGAUGACAUCACAUGUAUGAAUCGGCCAAGUUUCUUGGUCACUUGGCACAAAGAGUUUUGAGUGUGCUCGCGACUGGCCUUAUCGAGUGAUUGCGUAUGUCAUAUAAGGGACUUUACCAUUUGUCUUCACCAUGACUUAGCCGUGUAGCCUGUGACGAAGGCAUCCGCAUGAAUCGGUCAAGUAUCUUGGUCGCAUGGCAUAAAUAGUUUUGAGUGUGCUCGCCACUGGCCUUAUAGAGUGAUUACAUAUGUCAUAUAAGGGACUUUACCAUUUGUCUUGAACAUGACUUAGCCACGUAGCCUGUGACGACGGCAUCCGCAUGAAUCGGCCAACUAUCUUUGUCAUUUGGCACAUAUAGUUUUGAGUGUUGUUUCCGCUGGCCUUAUCGGGUGAUUGCGUAUGUCUUACAAGGGACUUUGCCAUUUCUUUUGCCCAUGACUUAGCGGUGCAGAAUUUGGCUACCAUUUGGAACCUUAGUUGGUGAAGGAGAGUUGUGGGGGAGGGACGAAUCCGCGCAACAUGGGGUUGGAUCUCAGUGGAUCGUGGCAGCAAGGCCACUCUGCCACUUACAAUGCCCCUUCGCAUAUUUAAGUCGUCUGCAAAGGAUUCAUCCCACCGCCCUUUGGGAAGGGAGCUUCGAGGCGGCCGGCCGCGGCACGUCGGCCGGACCGGCUUAGCCAAUGGCAUGGGUCCUUGGGGGCGCAAGUGCCCCUAACGUGGGUCGGGGCGGGCGGCGGGCGCAGGCGUCGCAUGCUAGCUUGGAUUCUGACUUAGUGGCGUUCAGUCAUAAUCCGGCACAUGGUAGCUUCGCGCCACUGGCUUUUUAACCAAGCGCGAUGACCAAUUGUGUGAAUCAACGGUUCCACUUGUACUAGGUUGAAUUACUAUCGCGACACUGUCAUCAGUAGGGUAAAGCUAACCUGUCUCACGACGGUCCAAACCCAGCUCACGUUCCUUAUUGGUGGGUGAACAAUCCAACACAUGGUGAAUUCUGCUUCGCAAUGAUAGGAAGAGCCGACAUCGAAGGAUCAAAAAGUAACGUCGCUAUGAAUGCUUGGCUGCCACAAGCCAGUUAUCCCUAUGGUAACUUUCCUGACACCUCUAGCUUCAAACUCCGAAGAUCUAAAGGAUCGAUAGGCCACGCUUUUACCCUUUUGUUCCACACGAGAUUUCUGUUCUCGUCGAGCUCAUCUUAGGACACCUGCGUUAUCUUUUAACAGAUGUGCCGCCCCAGCCAAAAUCCCCACAUGACAAUGUCUUCCGCCCGGAUCGGCCGGGUAAGACCGGGCCUUGGAGCCAAAAGGAGGGGACAUGCCCCGCUUCCGACCCACGGAAUAAGUAAAAUAACGUUAAAAGUAGUGGUAUUGCACUUGCGCCCGUGAGGGCUCCCACUUAUCCUACACCACCAAGUCAUUUCACAAAGUCGGACUAGAGUCAAGCUCAACAAGGUCUUCUUUCCCCGCUGAUUCCGCCAAGCCCGUUCCCUUGGCCGUGGUUUCACUGUAUAGUAGCUAGGGACAGUGGGAAUCUCGUUAAUCUAUUCAUGCGCGUCACUAAUUAGAUGACGAGGCAUUUGGCUACCUUAAGAUAGUCAUAGUUACUCCCACCGUUUACCCGCGCUUGGUUGAAUUUCUUCACUUUGACAUUCAGAGCACUGGGAAGAAGUUACAUUGCGUCAGCAUCCGCGAGGACCAUCGCAAUGCUUUGUUUUAAUUAAACAGUCGGAUUCCCCUUCUCCAUACCAGUUCUGAGUCGACUGUUUCAUGCUCGGGGAAAGCCCCCGAAGGGGCGAUUCCCGGUCCGACCCCGGCCGGCAUGCGGCGACCCGCUCUUGCCACGUGAGCAGCUCAAGCAAUCCGCCGACAGCCGACGGGUUCGGGGCCGGGACCCCCGAGCCCAGUCCUCAGAGCAAAUCCUUUUCCCUAAGUUACGGAUCCGUUUUGCCGAAUUCCCUUGCCUACAAUAUUGUUCCAUUAGCCAGAGGCUAUUCACCUUGGAGACCUGAUGCGGUUAUGAGUACGACCAGGCGUGAACGGUACUCGGUCCUCCGGAUUUUCAUGGGCCGCCGGGGGUGCCCCGGACACCGCGCGAUGUGCGGUGCUCUUCCGGCCAUGGGACCCUACCUUCGGCUGAACCGUUUCCAGGGUUGGCAGGGCGUUAAGCAGAAAAGAUAACUCUUCCCAAGGCCCCCGCCGGCAUCUCCGGACUUCCUAACGUCGCCGUCAACCACCACAUCCCGGCUCGGGAAGUCUUAACCCGAUUCCCUUUCAGGGGAUGCGCGUGAUCGCGCUAUCUGCCAGGGUUACCCCGUCCAUUAGGAUCGGCUUACCCAUGUGCAAGUGCCGUUCACAUGGAACCUUUCUCCUCUUCGGCCUUCAAAGUUCUCAUUUGAAUAUUUUCUACUACUACCAAGAUCUUCACCGAUGGCCGCUCCGCCCGGGCUCACGCCCCGGGUUUUGCAGCGGCCGCCGCGCCCUCCUACUCAUCGGGGCAUGGCGCUCGCCCAGAUGGCCGGGUGUGGGUCGCGCUCUUCAGCGCCAUCCAUUUUUUGCGCUAGUUGAUUCAGCAGGUGAGUUGUUACACACUCCUUAGCGGAUUUCGACUUCCAUGACCACCGUCCUGCUGUCUUAAUCGACCAACACCCUUUGUGGGUUCUAGGUUAGCGCGCAGUUGGGCACCGUAUCCCGGCUUCCGGUUCAUCCCGCAUCGCCAGUUCCGCUUACCAAAAAUGGCCCACUUGGAGCACCCGAUUCCAUGGCACGGCUCACCGAAGCAGCCGCGCCAUCCUAUCUAUUUAAAGUUUGAGAAUAGGUCGAGGACGUUGCGUCCCCAAUGCCUCUAAUCAUUGGAUUUACCUGAUCGAACUCAUAAUGGGCUCCAGCUAUCCUGAGGGAAACUUCGGAGGGAACCAGCUACUAGAUGGUUCGAUUAGUCUUUCGCCCCUAUACCCAAGUAACGAACGAUUUGCACGUGAGUAUCGCUUCGAGCCUCCACCAGAUUUUCCUCUGGCUUCGCCCCGCUGAGGCAUAGUUCACCAUCUUUCGGGUCCCGACAGGCGUGCUCCAACUCAAACCCUUCACGAAAGAUCAGGGUCGGCCAGCGGUGUGGCUCGUGAGGGCCUCCCGCUCGUCAGCUUCCUUGCGCAUCCCAGGUUCUAGAACCCAUCGACUCGCACGCAUGUCAGACUCCUUGGUCCGUGUUUCAAGACGGGUCGGAUGGGGAGCCCGCAGGCCAUUGCAGCGCAGUGCCCCGAGGGACACGCCUUUCGGCGCGCGGGUACCGGCCGUGCCGACGACGGCCAUCGGGGGCACCUAGGGCCCCCGGGCUUUGGCCGUCGGCGCGGCCGACAACAGUCCACACCCCGAGUCGAGCGGCGGACCAGCAAGAGCCGUUCCGCGCGCAUACGGCCGGGGCGCAUCGCCGGCCCCCAUCCGCUUCCCUCCCGGAAAUUUCAAGCACUCUUUGACUCUCUUUUCAAAGUCCUUUUCAUCUUUCCCUCACGGUACUUGUUCGCUACACUACAAAAAAAAGACACAUCCGUGACAUUUUGGGCCGAACGAAAUUUUUUUCUCUCAUACAUAUGACACUUCUAUGACGAUAAUUGUGACAAAACCCGGUAUCAUCAUAGAUGUGGUGGGCUCCUACUUCUAUGACAAAAAAUCAUGACAGAAAAUGGGCUUUCCGUCCUGGGCGGGCCAGAGACGCAGCUGCAUGACAUUCUUUGGGCCAUCCAUGACGGAAAAUACCGUGGUAGAAGCGAGGGGGAGGGAAAUUUCGGGGAGUUCCCGGUUACGGUGGGAGGUCGGGGGCCGAGCAAUGCGCAUUUCUCUCGUACACGUACGCGCGUGUGUGCGAGGCGUUGGCUCUAACUGAACCCGAGCGAGGCGUUGGGCUCUAACUGAACCCGAGCGAUUGCACUGCAGGCUACGCAUUACUGAACCCGAGCGAUCGAUCGAUGGCUGUUAACUGAACCCGAUCAAGCGAUUCCUUUGCUACUGCUGCUAACUGAAGCCGAUCGAUUGGAUGAACAGUGAGCGUUGCGGGGGGGGUGGAUGAACAGUGAGCGGUGGCGUUGCCUCUGGAUGAACAGGACCCCGUGGUGUGGAGGGCUGUAUGAACAAUAGACGGUGGAGGGGUGGCCGUGGAGGGGUGGUUGAACAGGACCCCGUGGUGUGGACGGCUGGAUGAACAGUAUAUGGUGGAGGGGUGCCCGUGGAGGGGUGGUUGAACAGUAGCCGGUGGAGUAGCGCGCGGUGGAGGCUGGAUGAACAGGAGCCCGUGGAGGCUGGAGGAGGUCGACGGUAGCCCGUGGAGGCUGGAGGAGGUCGACGGUGGAGACGAACAGUAUCCCGUGGAGUCUGGUUUUGCGGUACGCCACACCCCUCCCGAUGAACAGGACCCCCAUUUCGACCGUAGCGCUCCAACACAAGUCCGUUUCGUCCGUUUUGCGGUACGCCACACCCCUCCCGAUCAACAGGACCCCCGUUUCGACCGUAGGAGGUCCGUUUCCUCCGUUUUGCGGUACGCCACACCCCUCCCGAUCAACAGGACCCCAUUCCGAACGUGGCCGGUCGAACACAAGGCCAUUUCCUCCGUUCUGCGGUACGCCAGGCCUCGUUUCCAUCGCCUUUUCCGUCCAAGCCGGUUGGCUCCCACGCGUUCCGUUGCCUCCCGAUGAACACGACGCACUCCGUUGCCACCCCAUGAACACGAUGCAUUCCGUUGCCUCCAAAUGAACACGACGCAUUCCGUUGCCUCCCCAUGAACACGACGACGACGCUGUUUCUCCGUUCCGACCCAGCCAUGUACACGAUCCCUCGCUGUACGUAUGCGCGAGUAGGCGCUCGAGACCCCCCCCCCCGUAUGUACACAUACCGUCACGACCGGUUUUUCAAUAAAAGAUUUAUUGAGAGACCAAUCCCUUUUACGGACCAGUAAAGAAUAAUUCCUUCUUACUGGUAGACAAUAUCUUGGUCACAGAAGAAAAAUACCAGGAGUACUGAAUAUAAUACAAGGUUGAGCGGAGACUGCUCAACGAUUUACUACAUGCAUGCCGAUAUAACAUAACGGCGGAUAGGGUGGCAUAACUACUAACUCACGAUAACAAAGGUGGUGGAAAUAUCACAACGGAGGGGGUGAUAUGACUCCUGCAAACUACAGCUCUUCGGGCGUCAGGGUGAAGCUCGAGGAGGUUUAUUGCGGGUGGCAGAAGCAUACAUAAUACAAGUGACCAAUAUCCAGGAUCGCACGGGUCUGACUGGGAUUCCUCUAGGCGUCGGACUCACUAUCAAACUCUUCACCCAAGAGGUCGCCUUCGUCAACAUCUGGCCAAAUCAACAAGCCAGGUGAGUACUAUGAAAGUACUCGUAAGACAGUUCGGACAUAAGAUAUAACAAAUGUAAACAUGAUGCAUUUGAACAGGUUAACAAGUGCACUCAGACAUAGAGAUAAUACUACAAGGGAAAUAAAAGAGAAGUCGGGCGGUAGUCCUCCCGAAAUCCCAAAAUAAAUACUGGGUGCCAAACGAGGGUCUGAAUGACUCCUCGAGAGGAAACUGCAAGAAUAAUAAUGCCGCAGUCGGGCGUCGGGGCGACACCACAUAAAGGGCUUAUAACAGAAAUAAAAGACAGUGCGUGCCACAGUCGGACGUCUGAGCGACAUCACAUAAAGGGCUUAUAUUGAAAGUAAGAGACAAACAUGCCACAGUCGGACGUCUGAGCGACAUCACAUAAAGGGCUUAUAUUGAAAGUAAAAGACAAACAUGCCACAGUCGGACGUCUGAGCGACAUCACAUAAAGGGCUUAUAUUCAUAACUUAGUAGCUCAUGAAUUUUAAAUCAUACCAAGAGAAUAAUCAGGUCUGAGAUAAACAACAGGGUUAGUCCAUCCACAGGAAUAACGUUCAGCCAAGAUUACUACUCAAGCUCACUUACCGGAAAGAAGAAUAUACCACAAGGUUAUGACAUAGACAUGGAUACGCUGAUCACGAUACUUGACCUUGGAUAUGAUGACUCGGAAGGAUUUGACUCUGCAGAGUUUGUACUUUAACCACAGCCAACGGAUUUCAGUAGCCAUGGGGACUAGUUCCGUUUACGGUGUUUUGGAAGAAACACGUCUAACCAGUACACACCCAUUCAACAUUCCGAAGCCAGGAAUCACCCUCGGCAACGUUCGAGAAAAACCUUGAGACGGGGAGGCUACAACCUCGCGUAGCAUAGGAUCAAAUUUCUAUACGCGCGCUUUAAGGGGUGCCCCCCUCUCGGUCCCAACCGGAAACACCCAUGCCCCCUGACCGGAUGAAUUGCUUUAAUCCAGGGCCAUGGAACCAUCAUCCCGGCCCCUCUAUUUGGUGUGUACACGGAAAGAGGUUACCAACUUACUAAACCGCAUUCUGGCAGAAAACAUGUGGUAGCACGGAAGGGGGAAGAACGAUAACGUGACUCCGUCCACGUUAACGUCGGAAUUUACCGGAUGACGUAAGGCUGGCAUGCUACACCAGUACCACCUUACUGCCCUUCAUGUCACCACGGUAACUUUGGAACUUUGGAACACACGGGUAGUUGCCUCACAUGCAACGAGAUACUCACCGAUACUCAUAUGCCAUGCACAACCUUUCAUGCAAUCAUGCAAAACACCUAUCAUAUCAAAGGUUCAAACAUGCUUGCCUGGUUCGGAGAAGUCGGAGUCUAGCUCGGCGAAGUUCGCGGCUCCGUCACCUCUUCCGGAACCUACGGUAUAGCGAAAAAGCAUACUAACGUGAAAACCAACGCGUGCAUAAAAGUUGUUACAAAAAAUUUCCAAAUAAAUCCCAUAAAAAACUAGACAAAAUUAUAAGACUGUCAGAAAAAGAAUCACUCAAAAAUCACUUUUUAAUAAAAAGUUAUAAGGGUUUCUGUCCAGGGACUCAUCUGUAAUGAAACAGAGAAGUUCCAGGGGCUUAGCUGAGAAAACAGAAAACGGUUCGAAUAGAAACGCGCCAGCCCACAGAGAAAACGUACUCUGCCCGAAGGCGCCAACAGAAAACGCUUCGGGGGUGAAAGAAGAGAGGCUGAUGUGGGGGGUCCACAUGUCAGGUUUGAAAAACCUCGCCGGCGCCCGAAGGCUGCGGAGGUCGCCGGCGUCGAACCACGGCGAGUCAGAGAGAUCGGAGUGUACCAAGAGUAUCAGCGUGCCCUUCCGCGUCAGUGGGUGGUGGACUUGGGCAUCGGGGAGCACCACGUCGACGGCGACACUUUCUCCGGCGGACGGCGGCUCGGGCGAUGGUGGGGAACUCCGGUGGUGUGCUGCAAACUUCGAAUUGAAGCGCGGGUCAGAAGGAGGGAUGUACUAGAGAGCUACUGGCAAGAGAUGGGAGGCAGAGGUGCACGCACGGGAGCGAAUCGAGCUGGAUCCCGUGGCGGGUCGCGGCGGCCGGAGUCGAGGAAGGAGACUCCCUCGGGGCUCUUCCAGUGGCUAGGCAGGGUCUUGGUGGAGUGCAGAGGUGGUGUGGGUACUAGCUAGAGCUCGGGGACUCUAUUUAUAGGCGGAUCGAGGGGGUGGCCGUGAACAGAGAAUCUCCGGCGAGCAAUUACGGCGAGGCAGUGGAUUGGCAGGGGUUCUAGGUGGCCAGGCAGCAUCAGUGGGAGUUACUGGUCCCGUUCCCCUGCUAAACUCGGUCGGGCAUGGCGUAAUGGCGCCGGUCCUCGUCGGAGUCGCCGUACUGGCACGACGGCCGCAGAGAGCGCACUCCGUGCCCAGCGGUUCACGACGAGGGUGGCAGCGUGCACUGGGGAGUGGAAGACCACGCGGCGACCUCCGGUGGCUUGGGCGGCGCCGGACGGCGCCGUCUGCGCUGCGCCACUCUUCUGACGGCCGCAAAGCCGCCGCUGGCGUCGGUCACUGGGCGGCACACCUCCUCCUGCUCGUCGCCGACGCCCGCAAGCCUCCAGGCGCUCGUGCGGUGCGGAGGACAAGGGGGAGGGGACAGGAAACACGGCGACGCCGGGGCACUGGUGAGAUUGGCAACGGACACUAAAGAAACGACAGUGGUUCAGACACUGUUAACUGAAUUUGACUGAACAUGAUAUUGACAGUGCUCUGAAGGUGUUCGAUGAAAUGAUUUGGGGUGAAGAAAAUUUUUCCUGGAGCUGCGACUUGGUGAGGUGACCUCUCAAUGCACCCAGAGGCUGCCUGAUUUUUCUCAGAAUUUUUGGAGAAGGAUUUGAAUGAAUUUCAUCAAAUUUGGCAAAUCUGGUCCAAACUUGCAGCAAGUAUAGUUUGAAAAUUUUGAACUGAAGACUAGUGGAUCUUCAUCGAUCUUGGUUGAGGGUUCAAAGGACUAGGAAGGGAAAUUGGUUUGGGGGCAAAAAUCAAAACAGAAAUGGUAGCUCCUUUGUAAAUCUCCAAGAGCUAGAAUAGAAGGCAGAAAUUGUUUUGAUAAGAUAUAAAUGGAGAAUAAAUACAUGGAGAGGUCCAGCUUGCUGGAUUUGAAGUAAAUCAUGAUCCAAAGAUGAGGAAAGGUUUAUGAGAGUGGAUUUGCACUAAGGUCAUGGCAAGAGAGAUUUGUUGAAAGGGGCAAAGAAUCAUUCCAAAAGCGAUAGUGCAUUUUCAAAGAAAUUUUCAAAAGGCAUUUUUCCCAAGUGAAAAGCAUUUUGGUUUGAGUCCAAGUAAAAAGGAAGAACCUCCAAGACCAAAAUCAAGUCUUGGGUGGAUCCAAAUAAAACUCUUGCCAUAAAAAAAUAUUUUGAAAGGGAGGGUUCUUUUGAAGAAAAAUUUAAAACACCUCCCUCUAGUCAAAUAAAAAAUUUGAAAAGGCCAAAUAAAAUUUUGGGUGUCACAACACCUACCCCCUUAGGAAAAAUCUUGUCCUCGAGAUUUCAGUUGAUCCUCGAACACAUAUGGAUAUUCUGCCUGAAGAAAAUCUUCCCUUUCCCAUGUAGCUUCAUCCUCAGUGUGGUUGCUCCACUGAACUCUGAAAAUUUUUGUCGUUUUCUGACGGAUCCUCCGUUCAGACACUUCCAGUAUCUUUACUGGCCUCUCUCUGUAGGUGAGGUCUGGUUAUAUAUCAAUGCUUUCAUGAGAUACAUGCUUCUCCGGGUUACUUACACAUUUUCUCAAUUGUGAGACGUGGAAUACGUCAUGGACGUCUGACAGCUCCUUGGGUAGGUCUAGUUGGUAGGCUACCGUGCCUCUUCGUGCAAUUAUACAGAAUGGUCCAAUAAAUCUCGGGGCUAGCUUCCCCUUAAUUUUGAACCGUUGCAGGCCCCUCAUAGGAGACACUCGUAGGUAUACGGAAUCACCGGGUUCAAAGCUGACCUCACGAUGUUUUUGAUUGUAGUAGCUCUUCUGUCGGCUCUGUGCUGUCUUGAGUCUGUCCCUGAUCUGUUUAACUUUCUCCUCGGCCUCCUUGAGCAUGUCUGGGCCGAAGAUACGACUGUCACCUGUUUCUGACCAAUUUAGUGGGGUACGGCACCUCCGUCCGUACAAUGCUUCAAAGGGUGCCAUUUGUAAGCUGGCUUGGUAACUUUUGUUGUAGGCAAACUCGGCAUAUGGCAAACUUUCCUCCCAACUGGAUCCAUAGGUGAGCACACAGGCUCUCAGCAUGUCCUCUAGGAUUUGGUUCACACGUUCCAUUUGUCCAUCAGUCUGAGGGUGGUACGCUGUACUGAAAGCUAAUUGCGUGCCCAGAGCUUGUCUCAAGUGAUCCCAAAAUUUGGAGACAAAUUGGGUGCCUCGGUCGGAUAUUAUAGUCUUUGGGACUCCAUGCAAACAAACUAUACGAGAGAGAUAAAGCUUGGCCAGCCUUUGUGUGGAGUAGGUAGUCUUCACGGGAAUGAAAUGAGCAACCUUGGUUAGUCGGUCUGUGAUGACCCAUAUGGCGUCAUUUCCGCGUUGUGAUUGAGGUAGUCUGACGAUGAAGUCCAUUCCUAUUUCAUCCCAUUUCCACUCCGGUAUCCUGUUUGGCUGGAGUAGCCCUGCUGGCUUUUGAUGCUCGGCCUUGAUGCGCUGACAUGAAUCGCAACAAGCAAUAAAUGCGGCUAUAUCCCUUUUCAUACCGUGCCACCAAAAUCUCUCCUGAAUGUCUUUGUACAUUUUGGUUCCUCCAGGGUGGAUCGAGUAUGGAGCGGUGUGGCUUUCGGUUAGGAUUUGUUGCUUGAGUUCCUCAAUGUUAGGUACGCAAAGUCUGUCUCCGUACCAUAAUCUUCCUUCACUGUCUGUGAAGAACUCUGAAGCCUUACCAAGGUUCAUUUUCUUUUUUAUACCUUCGAUGCUGGGAUGUCCCUGUUGAGCCUUCUUAAUUUGUUCCACUAGGGUGGGUUGUAUCUCCAGAUUUGAUACGGUGCCCUCAGAGACUAACACCAUGUUGAGCCUAGCGAACUCUUGCUGAAACUCAGGCCUCAAGUCUUGCGGACCGUCGUUGUCCGGGCUGGGGUUCCGACUAAGGGCAUCAACCACUACAUUUGCUUUCCCUGGAUGGUAGUGAAUGCCGACAUCAUAGUCCUUGACCAAUUCCAACCAGCGUCGUUGGCGUAAGUUUAGCUCGGGUUGCGUGAAAAUAUAUUUAAGGCUCUUAUGGUCCGUAUAUAUUUCACAGCGAUUUCCCAACAGAAAGUGCCUCCACUCCUUGAGUGCAUGUAUGACUGCUGCUAGCUCCAAGUCAUGUGUUGGGUAAUUUUCCUCAUGUUUUCGCAGCUGCCUGGAGGCAUACGCGACAACUUUGCCAUCCUGCAUUAGUACACACCCGAGGCCCUUUCGGGACGCGUCACAAAACACUUCAAAACUCUUGUGUAUGUCUGGCACAGUUAAGACCGGUGCGGUUGUUAGUUUCUCCUUGAGCUCUUGGAAGCUUUUCUCGCAUGCUUCCGUCCAUACAAAUUUCUUGUCUUUCUUGAGCAAUUGUGUUAUAGGUUUUGCCACAGUGGAGAAUCCUUCAAUAAAUCUUCUGUAAUAUCCGGCCAUUCCCAGGAAACUCCGCACAUCUGUCACGUUGGCGGGUGGCUUCCAGUCAAGUAUGGCCUUGAUUUUCUCUGGGUCUACGGCCACGCCUUCUUGGUUUAAUAUGUGGCCUAGGAAACCAACUUGCCUUAGCCAAAAUUCACACUUGCUAAAUUUGGCAUACAACUGAUGUUUCCUCAAUUCUCCCAAAACAAUUCUAAGAUGCUCAGCAUGCUCUUCCGGUGUCCUUGAAUAAACCAGAAUAUCGUCAAUGAACACCACGACAAAUUUGUCCAUGAAUUUCAUAAACACUUUGUUCAUGAGGUGGACGAAAUAUGCGGGGGCGUUCGUUAGACCAAAAGGCAUCACUGUGAACUCAUAUAAUCCGUAUCUGGAGGUGAAUGCUGUUUUAGGGAUAUCUUCUGUCCGUACUUUCAAUUGAUGAUAUCCCGAUCUCAAAUCAAUUUUUGAGAACACCUUGGCUUGUGCGAGCUGGUCGAACAAAUCAUUUAUCCGUGGCAUCGGAUAUUUGUUUUUGAUGGUGACCAUAUUGAGAGCUCGAUAGUCUAUACACAGUCUCAGUGUCCCAUCCUUUUUCUUGGCGAACAACACUGGCGAACCCCAUGGUGAGGAGCUGGCUCGAAUAAAUCCUUAGUCCAAUAAUUCCUUUAUCUGCUUCUUCAACUCCACCAAUUCUGAGGGUGCCAUUCUAUAAGGUUUCUUAUAGAUGGGAGCGGUGCCAGGUGCUAGUUCGAUGUUGAACUAUAUCUCUCGGUCUGGUGGCAUGCCUGGUAGUUCUUCAGGAAAUACGUUAGGAAACUCGCAUACCACUGGAACUUUUCUCAGUUCUGAAAUGUCCACUUUGUUCAGCUUUGGUUGCCGUGACCGUGGUCUUUAUUGAGCUAUAACCUUUAUUGUCUUGCCGUGAUGGUGAGUGAGAAUCACGGUCCGAUUGAAACAGUCAAUGAAUCCUUUGUUGGUGGUCAACCAGUCCAUCCCUAAAAUGACAUCUAGUCCUUUAUUUUCCAACACGAUGAGAUUUGCUUGGAACUGUAGUCCUUCGAACUCAAUGAUCACUCCUUGGUAGUAACUCUGAGCGAUUUGCUUAUUUCCGGGGGACUUGAUGAUCAUAGAUUUUUCCAAGGGAAGUAUCGGAAAACCAUGGUGCAAAACAAAACUCUUCGAAAUGAACGAAUGGGAAGCUCCAGAAUCAAACAAAACCGUGGCAGGUACUGUGUUGACAGGGAACGUACCGAGCACGAUGUCUGGGGCAUUCUGCGCUUCUUCCCUUGUCACAUGGUUCAGGUGACCCUUCCUGUGGUUGUUGUUGGGAUUGAAAUUGUUGCGCUUGGGGGCUGGAUUGUUUCCACCAUUGUUCGGCUUGUGGGCCGAGUUCCUUGGUUUUGGGCACUAUUUAGUAUAGUGCCCUUCUUCUCCACAAGCAUAGCAUGUGACCCCUGGACGGUACGUGAACUCCUUGUCCCUAGCAUGAAACUGUCUGACGGGCCUUUGAUCAGUAGUCGUGGAUUUCCUUGCCUCUGUCCUUGGAACCUCAGUCUUGCUUCGGUUGUUGCGAGCAAGAGUCGUCUUGUCCCUCUUUCGCUUACGGAUAUCUUCCAGACUACGGCGCUCAUUCUCCAAGGUAAUGGCCUUGUCAACCAGAGUUUUAAAAUCCGGGAAGGUGUGUACAAUCAGUUGGCAUCUUAGUGCUGGUGCCAGGCCAUCCAGGAAUUUUUCCAUCUUCUUGUUCUCUGUCAUGUGCUCGUCGUAGGCAUAACGAGAUAGCUGGGUAAACUGACCGUUGUAUUCUGUCACUGACAUGCCUCUUUGCUUGAGAUCGUCAAAUUAUCUCUUCUUGAUUUUUAUGAUGCUCCUGGGGAUGUGUGCCCCACGAAAGCCUUCCUUGAACUCUUCCCAGGUGAUGUUGUGUUCACUGGGAUGCAUGUGUAGGAAGUUUUCCCACCAUGCUGCAGCUGCUCUAGUAAGGUAGUGUGGUGCAUAAAGCACCUUCUCAUGAUCUGAACACUGAGCAAUAAUCAGCUUCCUUUCGAUGUCACGAAGCCAAUCAUCGGCUUCUAGCGGCCCAUCGGUGUGAGCAAACAUUGAAGGGCGAGUCUUCUGUAACUCAGAUAACUCGGAAUGCGGUUGAUAGGGUUCACGGUGGUUUCCCAUAUUGAUGACGUGAUUCAUCAUCUCUUGGUGUUGUUGCUGGCUUUGUUCGAAGAGACGGCAUACUUGAGACAGGGCUGCUUCGCUGUCCUGUUGACUGGACUGUCCCUGAGUGAAGUUGUUGCUAGCCUGUGUCCCAUAAACUUCUUCUGGCUGAUUGGGCAUGGAACGAGUCCACGGACGAGACAUUUUUCCAGUCUGGGGUAUUACUUUGCAAAACUCAUGAGAAGAACUGUGUGGCACAAGGAAAAUCUUGCAAGGGCAAAAAUUUAAGAGACCUCAAGAUUUUUCAAGAAAGCAUGAACAAUUUCGCACAGGGAAAAAAACUGCUUAACAUAAACCUUACACACGAAAAGCAAACACACGAUACAACACUCAGGAUGUGCGUACACAAUCCUGACAUGUUAUUUAGACUAGCAUACUCCUCCGGAAAGCAGUGAACACACUAAUACAAACUAGCGUACAGAUAAAACACAUCAUACAAGCAGACAUAACGCGCGGCUACUCGGCGCUCUUAGUCGGAGAUGGUGACGAUGUCCUUUCCCUUGCGGAGGGCAAGACUCAGCGGUGCAGGAGAUUCAACCUCCAACUCCUCUCUAGCAGGCUCCUGGCGCGUAACACUGCGCUGCGGUGAUGGUGCGGGGGCGACAGGCGGCAGUGCGGGUGCGGCAAGCGGUGCAGCUCUGACUGGAGUAGGGGUGAUGACUCUGUCGAACUCCUCAGUGGUAGGCAGACGGCGAGCAGUCGCCAAAAUAGCCGGGGCAUAAGAGGCUGAAGACGAGACGAAUGUCAGAGGCGGUGUUGUGAGGAGAAGCUCCUUCCUGCUGGCAGGACCGCCCCGGACUAAGUCCAUGCGGGCAGCCACAAGUCGUCCACGAGGUUGUCGAAAGACUCCUCCAGAGCCUUGAGAUACUCCACAACCAUCUCGAUGGCUUCAUCUCGCUCUCCCCGAUGGCAGGCGAAUGCAUAGUGACAAGUGUAUGGCACAUGGCAUGGGAGGUAGCAGUAGCGAAGAGUCUUCAUCAUCGGAAGGAUGUCCCAAAGACGAGCUAUCGCCUCACGGGCAGCCAUCUGCAUGGCAUGCCUCUCCGUAGGCAUGGCCCUUCCCACAAAACGGAAGUGGCGAGAUGCAGAACGCCCUCCCUUGAAUUGCACCACGGCUUGGUGCAUAGACACGUCGUCGCUGAGCUUGUGCUGGUAAAGCGUGAACUCCGGGCGAGUCGCUGGCCCGAUAGCGAGCUUGGUAAUAGAGACGAGGAGUUUGACAAACCCCUCGGGCACAUUCGUGAACACUCGAGUCUCGCAGCUGCUGCCAGCCAUCUACAAAAGUAGGCAAAAAUUCUGAGUAGUCAUGUCAUAAAUUUAUGAUGACCAACAGGAAAUAGCUUACAAUUGCAAAAUGCUGAAAAGCACAAAAGACGCUAAUAAUCGAUUAGUGAUCGCGCCUAGUGGCUUCCUACAGUCAGCCUGGCUCUGAUACCAAGCUUGUCACGACCAGUUUUUCAAUAAAAGAUUUAUUGAGAGACCAAUCCCUUUUACGGACCAGUAAAGAAGAAUUCCUUCUUACUGGUAGACAAUAUCUUGGUCACAGAAGAAAAAUACCAGGAGUACUGAAUAUAAUACAAGGUUGAGUGGAGACUGCUCAACGAUUUAUUACAUGCAUGCCGAUAUAACAUAACGGCGGAUAGGGUGGCAUAACUACUAACUCACGAUAACAACGGUGGUGGAAAUAUCACAGCGGAGCGGGUGAUAUGACUCCUGCAAACUACAGCUCUUCGGGCGUCGGGGUGAAGCUCGAGGAGGUUUAUUGCGGGUGGCGGAAGCGUACAUAAUACAAGUGACCAAUAUCCAGGAUCGCACGGGUCUGACUGGGAUUCCUCUAGGCGUCGGACUCACUAUCAAACUCUUCACCCAAGAGGUCGCCUUCGUCAACAUCUGGCCAAAUCAACAAGCCAGGUGAGUACUAUGAAAGUACUCGCAAGACAGUUUGGACAUAAGAUAUAACAAAUGUAAACAUGAUGCAUUUGAACAGGUUAACAAGUGCACUCAGACAUAGAGAUAAUACUACAAGGGAAAUAAAAGAGAAGUCGGGCGGUAGUCCUCCCGAAAUCCCAAAAUAAAUAUUGGAUGCCAAACGAGGGUCUGAAUGACUCCUCGAGAGGAAACUGCAAGAAUAAUAAUGCCGCAGUCGGGCGUCGGGGCGACACCACAUAAAGGGCUUAUAACAGAAAUAAAAGACAGUGCGUGCCACCGGCGGACGUCUGAGCGACAUCACAUAAAGGGCUUAUAUUGAAAGUAAGAGAUAAACAUGCCACAGUCGGACGUCUGAGCGACAUCACAUAAAGGGCUUAUAUUGAAAGUAAAAGACAAACAUGCCACAGUCGGACGUCUGAGCGACAUCACAUAAAGGGCUUAUAUUCAUAACUUAGUAGCUCAUGAAUUUUAAAUCAUACCAAGAGAAUAAUCAGGUCUGAGAUAAACAACAGGGUUAGUCCAUCCACAGGAAUAACGUUCAGCCAAGAUUACUACUCAAGCUCACUUACCGGAAAGAAGAAUAUACCACGAGGUUAUGACAUAGACAUGGAUACGCUGAUCACGAUACUUGACCUUGGAUAUGAUGACUCGGAAGGAUUUGACUCUGCAGAGUUUGUACUUUAACCACAGCCAACGGAUUUCAGUAGCCACGGGGACUAGUUCCGUUUACGGUGUUUUGGAAGAAACACGUCUAACCAGUACACACCCAUUCAACAUUCCGAAGCCAGGAAUCACCCUCGGCAAUGUUCAAGAAAAAUCUUGAGACGGGGAGGCUACAACCUCGCGUAGCAUAGGAUCAAAUUUCUAUACGCGCGCUCUAAGGGGUGCCCCCCUCUCGGUCCCAACCGGAAACACCCAUGCCCCCUAACCGGAUGACUGGCUUUAAUCCAGGGCCAUGGAACCAUCAUCCCGGCCCCUCUGUUUGGUGUGUACACGGAAAGAGGUUACCAACUUACUAAACCGCAUUCUGGCAGAAAACAUGUGGUAGCACGGAAGGGGGAAGAACGAUAACGUGACUCCGUCCACGUUAACGUCGGAAUUUAUCGGAUGACGUAAGGCUGGCAUGCUACAACAGUACCACCUUACAGCCCUUCAUGUCACCACAUGACUAGGCCAUCUCUCAUCAGAGAUCACAGUAACUUUGAAACACACGGGUAGUUGCCUCACAUGCAACGAGAUACUCAUCGAUACUCAUAUGCCAUGCACAACCUUUCACGCAAUCAUGCAAAACACCUAUCAUAUCAAAGGUUCAAACAUGCUUGCCUGGUUCGGAGAAGUCGGUGUCUAGCUCGGCGAAGUUCGCGGCUCCGUCACCUCUUCCGGAACCUACGGUAUAGCGAAAAAGCAUACUAACGUGAAAACCAACGCGUGCAUAAAAGUUGUUCCAAAAAAUUUCCAAAUAAAUCCCAUAAAAAACUAGACAAAAUUAUAAGACUGUCAGAAAAAAGAAUCACUCAAAAAUCACUUUUUAAUAAAAAGUUAUAAGGGUUUCUGUCCAGGGACUCAUCUGUAAUGAAACAGAGAAGUUCUAGGGGCUUAACUGAUAAAAUAGAAAACGGUUCGAAUAGAAACGCGCCAGCCCACAGAGAAACGUACUCUGCCCGAAGGCGCCAACAGAAAACGCUUCGGGGGUGAAAGAAGAGAGGCUGACGUGGGGGGUCCACAUGUCAGGUUUGAAAAACCUCGCCGGCGCCCGAAGGCUGCGGUGGUCGCCGGCGUCGAACCACGGCGAGUCAGGGAGUUCGGAGUGUACCAAGAGUAUCAGCGUGCCCUUCCGCGUCAGUGGGUGGUGGACUUGGGAGUCGGGGAGCACCACAUCGACGGCGACACAUUCUCCGGCGGACGGCGGCUCGGGCGAUGGUGGGGAACUCCGGUGGUGUGCUGCAAACUUCGAAUUGAAGCGCGGGUCAGAAGGAGGGAUGUACUAGAGAGCUACUGGCAAGAGAUGGGAGGCAGAGGUGCACGCACGGGAGCGAAUCGAGCUGGAUCCCGUGGCGGGUCGCGGCGGCCGGAGUCGAGGAAGGAGACUCCCUCGGGGCUCUUCCAGUGGCUAGGCAGGGUCUUGGUGGAGUGCAGAGGUGGUGUGGGUACUAGCUGGAGCUCGGGGCCUCUAUUUAUUGGCGGCUCGAGGGGGUGGCCGUGAACGAAGAAUCUCCGGCGAGCAAUUACGGCGAGGCAGUGGAUUGGCAGGGGUUCUAGGUGGCCAGGCAGCAUCAGUGGGAGUUACUGGUCCCGUUCCCCUGCUAAACUCGGUCGGGCAUGGCGUAAUGGCGCCGGUCCUCGUCGGGGUCGCCGUACUGGCACGACGGCGGCAGAGAGCGUGCUCCGUGCCCAGCGGUUCACGACGAGGGUGGCUGCAUGCACUGGGGAGUGGAAGACCACGCGGCGACCUCCGGUGGCUUGGGCGGCGCCGGACGGCGCCGUCUACGCUGCGCCACUCUUCUGACGGCCGCAAUGCCGCCGCUGGCGUCGGUCACGGGGCAGCGCACCUCCUCCUGCUCGUCGCCGACGCCCGCAAGCAUCCAGGCACUCGUGCGGUGUAGAGGACAAGGGGGAGGGGAGAGGACACACGGCGACGCCGGGGCACUGGUGAGAUUGGCAACAGACACUGAAGAAACGACAGUGGUUCAGACACUGUUAACUGACUUUGACUGAACAUGAUAUUGACAGUGCUCUAAAGGUGUUCGAUGAAAUGAUUUGGGGUGAAGAAAAUUUUUCCUGGAGCUGGGACUUGGUGAGGUGACCUCUCAAUGCACCAAGAGGCUGCCUGAUUUUUCUCAGAAUUUUUGGAGAAGGAUUUGAAUGAAUUUCAUCAAAUUUGGCAAAUCUGGUCCAAACUUGCAGCAAGUAUAGUUUGAAAAAUUUGAACUGAAGACUAGUGGAUCUUCAUGGAUCUUGGUUGAGGGUUCAAAGGACUAGGAAGGGAAAUUGGUUUGGGGGCAAAAAUCAAAACAGAAAUGGUAGCUCCUUUGUAAAUCUCCAAGAGCUAGAAUAGAAGGCAGAAAUUGUUUUGAUAAGAUAUAAAUGGAGAAUAAAUACAUGGAGAGGUCCAACUUGCUGGAUUUGAACUAAAUCAUGAUCCAAAGAUGAGGAAAGGUUUAUGAGAGUGGAUUUGCACUAAGGUCAUGGCAAGAGAGAUUUGUUGAAAGGGGCAAAGAAUCAUUCCAAAAGCCAUAGUGCAUUUUCAAAGAAAUUUUCAAAAGGCAUUUUUCCCAAGUGAAAAGCAUUUUGGUUUGAGUCCAAGUAAAAAGGAAGAACCUCCAAGACCAAAAUCAAGUCUUGGGUGGAUCCAAAUAAAACUCUUGCCAUAAAAAAAAUAUUUUGAAAGGGAGGGUUCUUUUGAAGAAAAAUUUAAAACACCUCCUUCAAGUCAAAUAAAUUUUUUGAAAAGGCCAAAUAAAAUUUUGGGUGUCACACGUACAUGCUACGUGCGCGCCUCUACUACGACACGUGCGCGCCUCUACAUCCACCAGUAUAUAUGUACAUACACGUUCGCGACCAGAAUGACAACGCUACGUACGCUUCGACCAGGUGGGCCCCGACUGUCAGGCACUUCCUUGCGUGCGUAGAUGUAGCUGGUGGGUCCCAGCAGUCAGGGGGGCGAAUCAAUUUUUUUUGACCGGAUGCACUUCCUUGCGUGCGAAGAUGUAGCUAGUGGGUCCCAGCAGUCAGGGGGAAACAUUUUUUCGUGAAAUACGGUGGCCCAUCCGGUGCGUCCCCGCUAUCAGGUGGAGGAAUAAUUAUUUUGCACGUAAUAAGGAGGCACUUCCUUGUUGCGGCCGUGGACCCAGCUGUCAACCUCUCCACGUACAGUCCACGUCCGAUGGAAGCCGUUCCUUGACCGCGUUGACCACGCCGCGCCGAGAGCACCAGGGCGGUGGACAACGGCGAGGCCUAGGAAGGGGAUGACGCGGAGCCGGGGAAGACACGGCAGUGGAUGCCCACGCGUAGAGGAGUACGAGGGUUCACUGGUUCGCUGCGGUGUGAGGCUGCCGUCGCCGCAAGAAUAACAGGGUGUGUGGGUGAGUAGAGGGAUGGCCUGGCCAGCGGUGGGAGUAGUAGGGGGCGAUGAGGCCUCCGCCACAUCGCAGACGGCCACGGGAGGCAGGAGCACGAGGCACGACCGGCGCUGGUUUGGGCGGCUGGAGCAAGAAGACCAGAGGUUGAAGAAGCACUACGGCCGUUGGAUGGACAUCGUACGGUCACUGGAGCUAGAAUCGUGCAUAUUGACUAAGUUGACAAAGCCCUUCGUCCCCGUCAACUUAGUAGGCCCACAAGUCAGCCUGCCACUAUACUGGGUCCCAGCUAACAGGGGGAGUAUUCAUUUUUUUGUGCGUAAUAAGGAGGCACUUCCUUGUGUGCGAAGAUAUAGCUGGUGGGUCUGAGCUGUCAGUGGCGGUAACAUUUUUUUUGCAAAAUACAGAGGCCCUUUCGGUGGGUCCCCGAUGUCAGGUGGAGGAAUCAUUAUUUUGCGCGUAAUAAGGAGGCAUUUCCUUGCAUGCGGCCGUGGACCCAGCUGUCAGCCUCUCCACGUACAGUCCACUUCAGAUGCAUGUCGGUUGUUGACCACGUUGACCAGGACGCGCCUCGAGCACCAGGUCGGUGGACGACGGCGAGGCCUAGGAAGGGAAUGACAUGGAGGCAGGGAAGACUCGGCAGUUGUUUCCCACGCGGAGGGGAGUACGACUGUACGAGGGUUUACUGGUUCGUCUGCCGUCGCCGGAGAUUAACAGCAGGUGUGGGUUACUAGAGGGAUGGCUAGGCCAGCCAUGGGAGUACAGUGGGGCGAUGAGGCCUGCGCGGCAGCACAGCCGGCCGCGGGGAGGAGGGAGCAGACAGUCCCACGGGCGCUUGUUUGAGCGGCUGGAGCAGGAAGAGCAGAGAUUGAAGAAGCACGACGGCCGUUGGAUGGACAUCGUACGGUCACUGGAGCUAGAAUCGUUCAUAUUGACUAAGUUGACAAAGCCCUCCAUCCCCGUCAACUUAGUAUGCCCACAAGUCAGCCUCCCACCAUGGUGGGUCCCAGCUAGCAGGGGGAGUAUUCAUUUUUCUGUGCGUAAUACGGAGGCACUUCCGGUGGGUCCGAGCUGACAGCGGGGGGAACGUUUUUUUCACGAAACACGGUGGUCCGUCCGGUGGGUCCCAGCAGUCACGGGGCAAACGUUUUUUUGCGAAAUACGGUGGCCCGUCCGGUGGGUCCCAGCAGUCAGGGGGGAAACGUUUUUUCCGCGAAAUACUGGUGGCCCGUCCGGUGGGUCCCUGCUGUCAGGUGGAGGAAUAAUUAUUUUGCGCGUAAUAAGGAGGCACUUCCUUGUGGCUGCCGUGGACCCAGCUGUCAGCCUCUCCAUGUACAGUACUCUUCCGAUGGAAGUCGGUCGUUGACCACAUUGACCACGCCGCGUCGAGAGCACCACGGCGGUGGACGGCAGCGAGGCCUAGGAAGGGGACGAUGCGGAGCCGGGAAAGACGCGACAGUGGAUGCCCACGCGGAGAGGAGUACGAGGGUUCACUGGUUCGGCUGCGGUGUGAGGCUGCCGUCGCCGCAGAAUAACAGGGGGAGUGGGUGAGCGGAGGGAUGGCCUGGCCGGCGGUGGGAGUAGUAUGGGGACGGCGAGGCCUCCGCGGCAGCACAGCAGGCCACGGGAGGCAGGAGCAUGCGGCACGACCAGCGCUGCUUUGGGCGGCUGGGGCAAGAAGACCAGAGGUUGAAGAAGCACUAUGGCCGUUGGAUGGACAUCGUUGACCACGCCGCGCCGAGAGCACCAGGGCGGUGGACGACGGCGAGGCCUACGAAGGGAACGACACGGAGUCGGGGAAGACACGGCAGUGGCUGCCCAUGCGAUGGAGAGUACGAGGGUUGACUGGUUCGGCUGCCGUUGCCGGAAAAUAACAGAAGGUGUGGGUGAGUAGAGGGAUAGACAGGCCAGGGAUGCGAGUAUGAUGGGGCCGUGAGGCCUGCCCUGCAGCACUGCCGGCCACGGGAGGCGGGAGCAGGCGGUUCCGACGGCGCUGGUUUGGGCGGCUGGGGCAGGAAGAUCAGAGACUGAAGAAGCACAAUUGCCCUUAGAUUGACAUCUAACGGUCUGACGCUGGUAGAGUCGAUUGUUGACUAAGUUUCUUUUUUGAGAAACCUUGUGUACGCAUGAACUUAGUAGGCCCACAAGUCAGCCUCCAAAUCUGUGGCAGACAACAUAAAGCCCAUUUGCUAUUUUUUAUAAUUUGCAGCCCAUUUGCUAAUUCUUAAGUAAUUUAUUGCAGCCCAUUUUCUGCCCAGGACCACGGUCAAAAAGUUCAACCUUAUUUUGCAUAUUUCGGUGGAGUCUGAACUGUUGUAAUCCCGAAAUGAUAAACAUUUUUUUAAGAACUUAUUGAUUUGCCAAAAAAUCGUUUUGUUUUUGUAAGCAAAUAAGACGUGGAACAAUUGAGUUGGUUUAAGGGAAAACCAGUGGUAAAAAAUCAGCGCUGGGUGGGAAAAAACAACAAAAAUAAGGAUGUAAAUAUGAAAAGGGAAUUUCAUGUGUUUUCAAUAUAAUGAUACGUGUAUAUGAACUAGUAAAACUAUAGGUAGAGAUUAGAAAACGGAUGUAGGACAUGCAUUUCAAGAGGAAAAUAGAAUUGGGCUGUGUGUUUGAUUCAGUAAAAAAACUGCCUGCGGAUGUUGUAAGACAAAAUAUAACUAACGCUGGCGGGCCAGAGGCCAGUAGAUACUUGCUGGAUCUUUGUGCCCCGUUGUCGUCAUGGGCUGGGCCUGUUAAAAACAAAACCAACCCUGGGCAGUCUGCAGCCCAUUUGAAACUUGCUCGACCUGAAAAAACAAUAUACGUGCUCAAUAAACGAGAGAAUUCUGCCUGUACAGACUGAUAACUGGGAUGCAACACGGAUAUUUUUUUUCAUGAUAAUAAGUGCAUGCACUUGUUUCGAAAAAAUUGGAGAACUGGGAAUUCGAACGGCGGGUGCUUAUGCUACCCAUCAAAUAAAAAGCAGGUGCCUGAAAAUUCGUUUCGAAAGAAAUGAUUCAGCUUUAUAUCCACGCUGACCCUCGGCAUGAUGGUUGGAAGCAAAUGCAAGUUCAUACCAAAAGAUCGUUAACAACAAUACCAACUUGCGGACGACAAGGUAGUACAACUACCAAUACCUAACUAACUUAUAAUCUUUUUACUCCUGGCCCUAGUGUUCGUCUGGUAGAAAAUCUUGCAGUGGACCAGUUCCCGCUCCUUCUCCUGCUCCAGGUCCCUGAGGUGGUACUGGUGCAUCACCCAGUUGGUCCUCUGCUGGUUGAAGUUCUUGUUGGUGUGCAGCACCAGAACCCUUUUUGCUGCCCGUCUGCCGGCCGUUGACCAUCACCGGCAAGGUAUUGCCGGUCUUGUGCCACAUCGCGUGCAUGCCGCACUCCGACUGUAUCUUGCGACACGUCCACGUGCCCCUUUUGAACGCCCUGGAAUUGCGCUGGAAGAAAUGCUUCCUUAGGCCACUCAAUGUGAUACCUGCAGUAUUGUGGAAUACAGGUUUUAGUGUACCUAGUUGGCAUUUUCAUUACAUAUUUGGCAUGUUGCAGUCACUUGUUUCACUUUUUAUUAACUGUCAAAUUGUAAUUGCUUCACCAGAUCUGCGUCUAAAAAGAAAAAUGGAGCUAUAAAAAAAGGAAUAUGUUUGUGCAAGUAGACGGUCGAUCGGUGUCUUACCUGGAAGUUUCUCAGGUUGGGUGUAGCAUAUGCCGUGCUCGCUGUCGAUGGUUGGUAUGAACAAAUCGAUGAGAGACUGAAAGCUCGCGUUGUGAGCACUCACUUUGGCCUCAAGGUGCUCGAUCAGCUCCUGAUUCGUGGGAUCGAACUUGACGCCACCCGGCAGCACCGGCCAAUCCUUCUUCGACUUGCAUCGGUAAUUCUAGUUAUAUGGUACUCAAUGUAUGAUCAAUCGACUGUUUUAAGUGAAUGAUGAAAGAUUUCGACAGAUAAGUGGUACUCCAAAUCUGAAGUCCAGAAUACCCGAACACGCCGCCGGGAUUCUUGUGUCACCUCACGCGCAGCGUGUUGUCACAUCAAUUCAAUGUGUGGACAUGAUGAAUAAUUUGACCGACGUAUACUAGUACUACUACUGUACUACUUACUAGUCGUACUUAGUGUCACAAUUUAUACAUAGGUUUAACUAACAAGUACGCACUUGAAGCCUAACUGAUAUAGAUAUAUGGCUUCUGCACAGCAUCUCCAUCAUCAUUAUCAGUACAUCCUACGCAGGUGAGUUAGGAUACACUUGAUCCCAGGAAGGUAUCUAUCCUUCAAACCAGAGGAGUGCUUCAAACUAACAACAGCACAUAAUAUCCAACAAAAGAGGGUCGUGCUAUAGCAGCAGAAUACAUGGCUCACUCUAGAUAUCAGCACGAAUCAAGUUGUGCAUAUUUGCUGUUGGCAUGAACCACAUCGCCGCAUGUCGGGUUUGCAAAAGCCAUCCAUCUCAUGGAAGCUUGAUGCCUUUCACACACUGAAGAUUACCUGGCAACAAGCUGUGUCGACGAAUCUCUGGAUAUGGUGAUUCAUGAAACCCAUGGUAUGAUGUGUAAACACAGCCCCCCCCCUCGCGAAUGGAAGUUGCAUAGCACAGUAAUCAUCGCCGGUGAUAUGAUCGAUGACUGGUUGGAUGAUCGGAUAAUUGAGCCCGAGGAACAAGGAGUGGUUGCCGAGGCUGUAAACCCGCCUCCAGUUGAAUACGCCUGGCCCAACGGAGCUGAGAUCUUUCUCGAACACGAAGCAGCCAUAGCCAUCAAUGUCACGAACGCCCCACGCAUUGUACUGCAUGUGGUUUGAUGUAAUGGUUUGGUCAAUUUGGUACGUGCGAAUGAGCAUCAAAUGACCGCCGUCAGCUGAACGAGCGAUAAACCACCACCCAUCGGCUGGUAUGAUUCCAGGUCCUGGAAUCGUGAAGGCCAACGCAUUUGCGUCUGCUGCAACAAUUCAAAUUGGAGACCAAAAGGACAAAAAUAAACAAUCAUGUUCAGAGUAUGUGUGGAAUUAAGAUUAUUAUAACAGUGACACAUAUCAUAGACAGAGAUUUGCAAUGCCGUGGUCAUAAUCAUACCCCAAGUUAAAAAAUAAGCCAAUGGCUUUCAUAUUCUAGCAAUAUGUCAUGGUUCAAACAUCAUGUAACAAUGAGAGGAAAACAGCUAUGACAGCGCCUACUCAUAUUCUACCGUAGCACUUACGACUACUGUUCUCAUAUCAACUCUAAGCAAUAACAUGCGUUGUUAUAAACAUCUUGUAAACGAGAGUAACAUAUAGAAAUCAUGAUGUUAUGCUCAUAAUAUGUAUUCUAACAAUCAUUAGAUGCCAAUUGUUCUCAUAUCAACUCUAACAAUAACAUGUGUGGUCAUAAAAAUCUAGGAAAUGAGAGGAACACAUAGCAAUGAUGUGCUUAUAGACAUGCUAUGCAUUCUAAAUUUGUAACAAAUGAACAGGCAGUCGUAUUCAUAAGGUAAAGAUGAGAUGAGAUAGAACAAUUACACGAUGAUAGAUUCCACCAGUAUAGGCAGCCAAUCUGUGCGUCGACCGCGUAAACGAUGCCAUCGUGCACUAUAGCAUCAGACAGAAAUGUUGCCUCAACAGGAUUGAUGAUGAGCCAUAACCAUGUAUGGCGACCGGAUUCUAGAUAAACUAAUCCCAUGUUGAACAAGGCAAUGAGCUUGUAGUCCAUGUAGUCUUCUGAUGGUGUGGGCACUUCGCAAAUUACAACUUUCUGCAAACAGAGGUCGAGCCAAAAGCUUGACACGUCUCGUGCGUAGUAGGCAGGAGUGUCCGGCAGGCCGCGAGGCUCGAUGUCGGCGGUAUCCAACGAUGGAAGGGUGAUCUCUCGCUGGGUGUAGAUAUCCACGAGACGCCACGGACUACCGGUGUGGUGGAUGAGGACGAUCCAGUUGGCCUUCAUGCCCGCCCAGUAGUGGCCGCGCAUGAAGGACAGGUGGACGGGUAGUGGUAGCAUGUCGAGGGGCACCACGGCAACCUCCGUAGGAUCGUCAAGUCGGUGUCUGGGCCACCUACGAGGAUCGGGCAUCAGCAAGAAGGGUGUCUUGAAAAGAGCCGGCCGGUUGCAGAUGAGUAGACGGUACAAAGACACCGAGCAUGCGGCCAGACGGACGGUGCUGAGUAGGUCCAUACGACUACAGAUCUGCUCCAAGAGAACAUCAGGGAGGGAAUUCCAAUCGCGGCUCUGCGUGUCAGUCGGUUAUGCCAUUGGGGUUUUCGGUGCCUGCGAGCCAGCGGGGAAGUGGAUUCGGGCGGGCGAGCGAAGAAGCUUCUCCUCGUGUGGCCGAGCAGUGAGCGGGGGCAUAUGGUACGCGCGAGCUACCAAGGAAGAUGGCGCGGGCGGGCGAGCAGUGAGCGGGGGUAAAUGGUGUGCGGCCGACGAUGGGGAAGAGAGGAGGAAGAAGAGUGGAAAACGGGGAAGAAAGUGCAUUAAAUCUCAAUUCUACUAGUACUACUACCAAGAUAUACUGUCCUUUGGAGUGUAAAUAGUUACACCGAUGACAUGUGGGUCUACCACAAGAGGGCCCAUAUGUCAGUUAAUGGGGGACAGAGGUGCGUAGGCGUAUUUGCCGAAGCGUGCUCUACUGGCAAACAUGAUGGCAGUACUGGGUAAGGCUGAUUUAGUAACAACAACACGCUGGUUCAGCUUAUUAAUUAUGUGUCCCAUCUGCUGCAGCGUGUAUUGUCACUUCACUGCGAAGACUAGUUGAAUAGUUUUCUCUGACCGAGAUGGGGAAUAAUGGAUCGCGAGGACUUCCUUUCUACAGUAUCCCUAUGCCUCUACACUCACUUCACUCAUUUUGCUCCGUACCUAGUCACUUGUUGAAAUCUGUAGAAAGACAAAUACUCCGUAUUUGGGAACAGAGGGAGGCUUUUACUCCGUACUAUUUGGGAACAGAGGGAGUAUCACCAUAUGGAGGGAACAGAGGAAGCUUGAAAUAUGAACAUGUCAAUGGCAGGGAGUAAGCCCCAUGCAUGCAACAUGCAACACUCACACGUACACAUGGACGCACGCAACACUCACGCACCCAUGCGGCACACAGCACACGACGCAACACACACGCUCACCUCAAGUGCUCAACCUACUCCCUACGUCCGUGAAAGACUGUACAUUUAGAGAUUUACACAUUGACCAGGGCAUAAUUAACGCCCAAAAGUAGCAGACUUAUGUGUGCAUGCGACCAUUGAGAUAAGAAGAUUAAAUGAAGGCCGUUGCAUGCUGUAAUUAAGGAUAGACAUGUAGCCUAUACCUACAGCACAAGUUGGUGCAUUAGUCAAUCAAUAUCAAUUUAGAUUAAAGGCUAAAUGCAUUGGAAGUGUAGAUGUACAUUAUGUACCACACUCUUUGUUUUGUAGCCGAUGUACACUCUUUGUUGGAAGACCGAGGGAGGACAUGUGCAUGCACUCACAUACACAGCCAGGGCGGUUCGCGCGCAAGGGUUGGACUCGUGUCGCGCCUGCGUAAAGUUUUGUUUAACUGACUUCUUUGCUCUGCCAACUGACAGGGGGGACCCAGAAACCAGGUGACAAUUUAACCAGUCAACAAAGUGCCACGUCGACUAUGUGGCCUGUCAGUAGGGUGCAAUACGGUGCUCUACGAUGAGCUAGUGAUCGUAUAAUCGCCGCAAAACUAUAUAUAGUGACCGUAAAGAGCGCAUUGUUACAUACGUUGACCGCCAGUGUAUUUUUCUCGUUUCAAAUUAAGCCAUAUUAAUCGGAAAGGACGCAGUAUGGACUACUACUAGUACUAGUACUCCUUUGAGGUGUCCCGUCAACUCGCCGAACGAGGAGAAGCUUGCUUACUACGUCUCUCCCUCGCCCACGCGCGCGGUGGUUCGCAGGACGAGGAGCGGGUUUUGACUACAGCGCCCUCUCCCUCGCCUUCGCCCUCGCCCUCGCGGUGGACGUGCAGCAGUUCAAUCGGUGUCAGAUUGCCAGAAGCAUAUUGUACUGUAGUAUCAUCAUUGUUGGACCUUCCGAAGAGGCGAAGAGCCAAGUGCAAGGUUCACACGAGUACGAACUGUUGAACCUCCCGAAGAGGCAAAGAGCCAAGCGCAAGGUUUUAUAGGAGUUGUCGUCCUAGUAGGAGUGUACUACAACUAUAGCGAACGAUGCUACUGUAUGAUGCCGCCACGUCACGUAUAUCCAAAGCUGUGCCACCUUUUUUCUCAAAGAGCGGUUGGAGCCCGUGCAACAACCACACAAGUUGCACGUACACAUAACACAUUUACUAGUAAUAAAUUCUAAAGGACAAAUGCCAGUAUGCCACCCAAGUUCAUCUCCAAUUCAUGUGAUAAAUUUGUGCACGACUAGUCUACAUAUAUUCACAGCGCUACCGUUCACAAUUACCGUACUCCACUUACACGUUAUAGAUGGGCUACAUGCAUGUCCUCCUCCAGGUUCCAGUCCCAGGUGUUCUUCACGGAUGGCACGAUCCAUAGCGGUGGGCAACGGGAAUCAUUGUCGCAGCUUUCUAGUCCGGUUCCACACGAUGGAGACUCAUCCAAGCCGAAGCGGCAUAAAUCAGGGAUAGCGUGUCCCAGCAUGUCAUUCAUCCGGCGGUGCGCAAUGAAGACACAACCAUGCUUCAUGAACGGCAGGCCUUCCGUGUCAUGCACGGAAGGUGGCAUCCGCUUCACAAUGGGGUAGCUAUCCCCGAUGAAAAGCGAGUACUCUCCAAGAGUGUUCCUCGGCACCCACGUAGCAUCACGGGGGUCGAACUCGGCGCCGUUCAUCUGGUACAUGCGACAUCCCAGAUUUGGACACAUGGUGACGUACAUAGUCAAGGUCCAUGAUAAUAAUGUUGUGCUCAAAUAUGGCGGUCAGUAAUACUGUGCAGCAAAUAGUACUACUCCGGUAUAGAGGAAGUAAAAUAAUCGGCUUAUUAUAUAUAGCCACUCUUGGCUACAUGGAUGAGAUAGUAAGACAUGGAAAAACAAAAAUGGUGGCAGCUAGUGGGUUCAAGUCUUCAAGGGCCUAGCUAGCUAUACGCGUCCUCCAAGGUAAAAAGUACUCCUACUAGUACUACUAAGUAUACUACUCCCUCCUUUCCGGUUUAUAGGGCUCAAUUCAAAAAUCUCACCGACCAAGGUAGAUGGUGAGUGGUGGAAUACUUUUGUAUUUUGCAAAAGCACCCAAUUAAUGCUCUUGUUUUCCUCAAAAAUUUAUGUUUACCAAUGUAUUAAUUGCAAUGCAUGCAUGCAUAAAGUACAUGCAUUGGUCAAUUUUUCUCUUAAUACUUGCAUGCAAUUAUUUAAUGCACCUUGGAAUCUGAAAUUGUGAUGGGGAACAACCAAAUUGAGCCUUAUAAAAUGGAAAAACUAAGAUUUUGAGAUAAGCCCUAUAAACCAGAAAGGAGGGAGUACUAGUACAACAAUGAAAGAGAAGGCGAGAGGGUUAAAAAAUGGAAUACCUGGGUAGAUGGUGACGGUCCGAUCAUGGUAGAUUGUGUGACCAUGUUGCACAUCAGUGCUACCAUGGGUAACGACUGCUAAGAUAGCUGAUCCCAAUAUGCCAAAGUCAGCUACAAGGUUCCAGGUUAGACCGAAUCGCAGAUGCAAAUGCACAUCCAGGAUCGGCGAUCUUAUUUUGAUCGGGGGAUGACUGGUCCCUGCAAAAUAAUGGAGUACCGUUAGGGAUGCAAAUGAUGGUUUGUGCAUUCCGUUUGUAAUCUCCCGUACCGUAGGAUGGCAACCAGAUGAAACAAGUCCCCUGGCUUGUCACCGCGAAGAUGCGGCCUAGAUGGCGCACGGCGUCUUCGAACGUGUAGGGGUACAAAUCUGCCGCCGCCAACAUGCGCCAGCCUCUGCCGUUACUGCGUCUUGCAUUGAUGGCAAUCCUUAUGUCGAACACCGCGAUGAGAUAGUAAUCAUCGUAGCCGCGUCGCUUUGUCGGCGGGUCCACAAUUGCUAUCUUCUUCAAUCUCAUGUAGGCAUCAUCAUACGUAUUCAAGCCCAGCCAGUCCGGAAGGCCGAUCCCAAUGGUGGAGAAGGGGGUCUACCGGAACAGCCGCACUACUAUGGAUGUUGUGCAAAAUGAUGGUGGUAUCCGGCCGGAGGUAUGCAAGCCAAUCUUCGUUGGCACCGACCCAGACCUAUAUAUAAGACGGUGGGCAGCGGAGAAAUUACGGGAUGGAAAUGGAAUAACUAAGUACUACAUGAUCAAACUCCAUUACUGACCUGCUCAUCGGACAAAAUCCGACUACCUCUCAACGUCGGCAACUCUAGCGGAGUCAACGUGCAACCAUGGCCAGGGAGCGGUGGACUAUUCGAAGGAUUGUCCCAUAGAAGAACCUUCUCCUCGAGGACGCAUGGAAGACCAACAAGCAUGGCCUUUUCCCAAGCCUGUUUAAGUAGCGUCUUGAAAAAGUUGGUGCAGGAAGCACCGAGUCUUGCGGCGGUGAGGACGUCGGAGCGGCGUGCGAUUUCUCCCAGAGGAUCGUCGUCCAAGGUCUCCCAGCCCCGACGAGGAGGAGAACCGCCUGGCGAAUCCAUGGGAGCAGCGACGAACUGCCUUCUCUUCGGGGGGAGGGGAACUGGCGAGGAGGAAAUAAGAGCGUAGUAACCGCAGGGACUCGUCCCUUCCAACUGUAGAUUGUUCCUCAGCGAAGGGGUGAGGCUAUUAUUUACUACUAGUACUAGCAUUAUGGAACGUUAUGGGAUUGCAUUAUACUGUAAAUAAUAGCACUAGUAAGAAAUUUUUGGCACUAGGUAGUAGUUUUUGGCGUGGAUUAAAAAAAUUUGGGUAUGUUUUUGCCAUUUUUUGUACACGCCAACUAGUGUCAAAAAACGUCUUACAUUAUGUGGCGGAGGAGUACGUACUCGUACUGUAGCAGUACCAGUACUACUUUUCUCAACUAGUAGUGUGAUGUACUGUACUUCUAGUCUAGUCUAGUAUAGUGCACCAGUUUUGAACUCUUGAAUCUCAGGGCCAAGGAGCUACAGUUGGAAGUGGAGGGUACUACUGUUCUCUAGAACCAUCGCUGUACUAUCAAUGCAGGGGAAGUACACCUGCGUAGUGGCCUAGUGGGUACUCUCGGUGCUAUAUUCAGCCGCUCCUCUCACGUAGGAGUAGCUGGCCUACUCAGCCGCUCCUCUCACGCACACACUAGCAGACUGUUUAUCAGCGACGGUUACUACGGGGGCAGAACAUUUGAGUUAUUUGAUACAGCGAGACUAGGCUUUUCGCUUCCAUUUGUGGAGGUGUAAUGGAUCUCGUCGAACUUUGUUAGUAGUUCCUUCUUUAUGAAUGAGAUGAAGCAAAGUUUUUGCCUCCAUUUAGAAAAAACACGUCAAGAGGAAUUUCUUUUAUAGUAGAGCCGAUAAUGGAGUGAAGUCCAUGCGUGCAACGCCACAAGCUACAGAGUAGUAGUAGAGCACUUUACGUACAGAGCCAUAUUGCACAGUUCCCAAUGCCCCGCCAGGCUUUUCCGGCUCCUCGGGCUUAAUUGGGAGGCGCUAGUUUAAAUAUGCUACUAGCUGAUGAGGAAGCUGCAAGCGAGGUGCGGCUAGGGCGAGCACGCGAGCCACAGGAUGCUGGGAAGGAAAACCCGUUCACGUGGCUAGGUGUCACGACCGGUUUUUCAAUAAAAUAAUUAUUGAGAGACCAAUCCCUUUUACGGACCAGCGAAGAAGAAUUCCUUCUCACUGGUAGACAAUAAUCUUGGUCACAGAAGAAAAAUACCAGGAGUACUAAAUAUAACACAAGGUUGAGCAGAGACUGCCCAAUAAUUUAUUACAGGCACGCCGAUAAAACAAUACGGCGGAUAGGGUGGCAAACUUCUAACUCACGAUAAUAACGGUGGUGGAAAAUAUCACUGCAAAGCGAGUGACAUGAUUCCAGAAGACUACAACUCAUCGAGCGUCGGAGUGAGGCUCGAGGAGACUUAUUGCGGGUGGCGGAAGCGUAUACAAUACAAGUGACCAAUAUCCGGGAUUGUGCGGGACUGACUGGGACUCCUCUAGGCGUCGGACGCGCUAUCAAACUCUUCAUCCAAAAGAUCACCUUCGUCAACAUCUGGCCAAAACAACAAGCCAGGUGAGUACUAUGAAAGUACUCGCAAGACAGUUCGGACAUAAGGCAUAACAAAUGUAAACAUGAAGCACAUGAAUAAGUUAACCAGUGCGAGUAGACAUAAAUAAAUACUGGGUGCCAAGCGAGGGUCUGAAUGACGCCUCGAGCAGAAACUGCAGAAUAGUAAUACUGGUGCCAAACGAGUGUCUGAAAGACUCCUCGAGCGGAAAAUGCGAAAUAAUAAUGCGGGUGCCAAACGAGUGUCUGAAAGACUCCUCGAGAGGUAAAUGCAGAAUGAUAAUGCCACAGUCGGGCGUCGGGGCCACACCACAUAAAGGGCUUAUAACAGAAAGUAAAGACAGUGCAUGCCGCAGUCGGACGUCUGAGCGACAUCACAUAACGGGCUUAUAACAGAAAGUAAAGACAGUGCAUGCCGCAGUCGGACGUCUGAGCGACAUCACAUAAAGGGCUUAUAUCGAAAGUAAAGACAGUGCAUGCCGCAGUCGGACGUCUGAGCGACAUCACAUAAAGGGCUUAUAUCGAAAGUGAGAAACGAGUACACGCCACAGUCGGACGUCUGCGCGACGUCACCUAAAGGGCUUAUAUCACAUCUCAUUAUUACAACAGUUCGGAGACAUAAAUUAUCACAAGCAUGAGACACAAAAUAAAGUUAGUCCAUCCACUGGAAUAACAAUAAAUCUGAAAUUUUACCACUUGAGCUUGUUCACCGGGGACAAGUUUUUCACACGGAUAGAUAUGGAUAUAAUGUUUACACUACUGAUCAUGGAUACGAUGAUUUGGAAAGAAUUGACUCUGCAGAGUUUGUACUUAACCACAGCCAACGGAUUUCAGUAGUCACGGGGACUAGUUCCGUCUGCGGUGUUUUGGAGGAAACACGUCUAACCAGUACACACCCAAUUCAACCAUCCGAAGCCAGGGAUCACCCUCGGCGACGUUCAAGAAAAACCUUGAGACGGGGAGGCUACAACCUCGCGUAGCAUGGGAUCAAAUUUAUAUACGCGCGCUCUAAGGGGGUGCCCCCCUCUCGGUCCCAACCGGAAACACCCAUGCCCCCUGACCGAAUGACUAGCUUUAAUCCUGGGCCAAGGUACCAUCAUCCCGGCCUCUCUGUUUGGUGUGUACACGGAAAGAGGUUACCAACUUACUAAACCGCAUCCUGGCAAUGAGACAUGUGGUAGCACGGAAAGGGGAAGGGACGGUAACACGGCUCCAACCAUGUUAACGUCAGAAAAGUCGGAUGACGCAAGGCUGGCAUGCUACAACAGUACCACCUUGCUGCCCUUCAUGUCACCACAUGAUUAGGCCAUCUCUCAUCAGAGAUCAUCGCAACUUUGGAACAACCGGGUCGUUGCCGUACAAGCAACGAGGUUUUUACCGACACUCAUAUGCCACACACAAACUCACACGUGAACAUGCAAAACACCUGUCAUAUCAAAUGUUCAAAACAUGCUUGCCUGGUUCGGAGAAGUCGGAGUCUAGCUCGGCGAAGUUCGCGGCUCCGUCACCCCUCCCGGAACCUACGGCAAAUCACGAAACGGGCACUAACGUGAAAACCAACACAUACACAGAAACUUUUCCAAUUAUUUUUCAAAUAAAUCCCAUAACAAACUAGACAAAAUUUGAAGAUUGUCAGAAAAAGAAUCACUCAAAAAUACCUUUUUAUUAAAAAGUUAUAAAGGUUUCUGUCCAGGGACUUAUCUGUAAUGAAACAGAAAAGUUCCAGGGUUUUAACUGAGAAAACAGAAAACGCUUCGGCUGGGAAUGCGCAAGCGCAAAGAAGGAAACGUAUUUUGCCCGAAGGCGCCAACAGAAAACGGUUCGCGAAUAAAAGAACAGAGGCUGACAUGCGGGGUCCACAUGUCAGGUUUGAAAAGCCCGCCGGCGCCCGAAGACUGCGGUGGACGCCGGCGUCGAACCACGGCGAGUUAGGAGAAACGGAGGGUACCAAGAGCUUCAGCGUCCUCUUCCGCGUCGGUGGAUGGUGGACUCGUCCAACGGGGAGCACUCUGUCGACGGCGACACUUUCUCCGGCGGACGGCGGCUCGGGUGAGGAUGGGGAACUCCGGUGGAGGGCUGCAAGCUUCAAAUUGAAGUGCGGGUCAGAAAGAGGGAUGCAUGGUGAAGCUACUGGCAAGAGAACGGAGGCGGAGGAGCACACACGGGGGCGAAUCGGGCUGGAUCCCGUGGCGGGUCGCGGCGGCCGGAGUCGAGGAAGGAGACCUCCUCGGGGCUCUUCCAGUGGCUAGGCAUGCUCUAGGGGGAGUGCAGGGCUGGUGGGUGCUCGAGUUGAAGCUCGGGGCCCCUAUUUAUAGGCAGAUCGACGGGAUGGCCGUGAACGGUGAAUCUCCGGCGAGCGAUUACGGCGGAGCAGUGGGUUGGCAGGGGGUUUGAGCGGUCGGGCAGCAUCAGUGGAUGUUACUGGACUCGAUUUGCAGCUAAACGGGGUCGGUCUUGGCGUAAUGGCGUCGGUCCACGGUGAGGUGACCGCACAGGCUCAACGGCGGCACAGAGUGCGCUCCGCGCCCUGCGGUUCACGACGAGAGCGGCGGCGCGUUCGGGGGAGUGGAAGGCCACGCGGUGAGCUCCGGUGGUUUGGGCGGCGCUGGGUGGCGUCGUCGGCGCCGUGUCUCCCGCUGGCGCCCGCAAAGCCGCCGCCGGCGUUGGUCACGGGGUGGCGCACCUUCUGCUGCUUCGUCGCCGACGCCCGCAAGGUGCCAGGCACUCGUGCGGUGCAGGAACAAGGGGGCGAGGAUGAGGAGCAAGGCGACGCGGUGGCACUGGCGAGAUCGAUGUCCAUCUCUGAAGAAAACGACAGUGAGCACUGAACUGAAUCUCUGAACUUUCUGAACUUUGACAAAGAUAGUGCACUGCAGGUGUUCUACAGAAGGUUUUGGCUAUGAGAUAAAUUUUUCUAGAGCUGUAACUUGGUGAGAUGAUCACUCAAAGCACCCAGGGGCUGCCUGAAUUUACUUGGAAUUUUUGGAGAAGGUUUUGAAUGAAUUUCACCAAAUUUGCCAAAUCUGGUCCAAACUUGCAGCAGGUGUAGUUUGAAAUUUUUGAACUGAAGACUAGUGGAUCUUCAUGGUUCCAGGUUGAGGGUUCAAAGGACUAGGAGGGGAAAGAAUUUUGGUGGUAAAAGUCCAAACAGAAAAUGGAGUUCCUUUGUAAAUCUCCAAGUGGUAGAAUAGAAGGCAGAGAAUUGUUUGAAUGAAAUUUGAAUGGGAAUAAUCACAUGGGGAGGUUCAACUUGCUGGAUUAGGUGUAAAACAUGAUCCAAAGGUGAGGGAAGGAUUUGGGGAGAGGAUUUGCACAAAUGUCAUGGUAAGAAGGGAAAGUUGAAAGUGGUAAAGGACUUUCCAAAAGCCAUAGUGCAAAUUCAAAAAUAUUUUCAGAAGUUAUUUUCCCAAAUGAAAAACAUUUUGUUUUGAGUCCAAAUGAAAAGUAAGAACUUCCAAGACCAAAGGCGGAUCUUGGGUGAAUCCAAACAAAACUUUUGCCAUAAGGAAAAAUAUAUGAGAGGGAGAGUUCUCUUAAAGAAAAAUUUAAAUUGCUCCCCUCAAGUCAAAAUAGAAAUCUUUUUUUUUGAAAAAUCCAAAUAAAAACUUGGGUGUCACACUAGGCUGUCCAGUGCACCCAGAUUGUGGGGCCGCACGUCCGUUCGACUUCAAAACUCAAACUACCCCUGUGAAAUAUUGGCUCGCAACGAAGUGUAGUAGUACUAUUUUAAAAAAAAGGCCGCCGUGCGUUCGGCCGGGAUCGAACCCACAAAACGAGGUAUACACUCCCGCGACCACUAGUAGUACUCAUUGGAGUACAACGCAACCUAGAAUCGCCUUUUGUCGCUAGUAGUACGUACAUUGUUCCUUACAAGAAACCCCUAAUAAUGCAAGAAACCACUAAAAUGCCAAGAAACUACUACCACUUGCAUACGUGGCAGACUUAAGAUAAGACUACCUUAUCAACCAUUGUACAUGCUCUUACCAACAAAACUCCUCGAGUGACCUCCUACCUCUGGCCCGUCCACCUAGUCAUCCUCGGCCAUGGGACGCAGCUACCGCCGCCGGCAGAAGGCGAGGUCAAAACCACAGGCGGUGCGGAGCCCAUGUUGCGGCAGCCCGGAUACCAGCUCCGUCCGGCGCUCACGGCCGCUAGCUAGCCAAGAUAGCUCCGUCCGCUACUUGUCUGCAAGGUUUGCUAGCUAGAUUGGCACGGCAGCGCAGCGGUUUGCUCGCGCGCGCCGUGCUUAGGCCAGCCAUCUGGCUCAAGCGAAGGCCAGCGCGGCGGCUUGCUCGCUCGUGAGUCACGCUCGGGCCAGCCUGCCAACCCGUGCAGAGGCCAGCGCGGCGUCCGGCCCGUCCGGUGGAGCGGCGACCAACUCGCUCAUCGUCGGCGCCACCGACGAACACGCAUCAGUACUGUUUGAAGUAAUGUUCAGGAAAAAUAAUGAUUUGAGGGGGAAUAACAGGAUAGAAGGUCAGAUGUGGGUCCCUCGUGUCAACGGUCAAACAAAAUGUGUUGGUUUAAGUUGCCUCGUCAGCACGGACGUGUGGGCCAACCCUGUCAUAAAUGGGUUUAAACGAACCUAAUCGGUAGGAGUACUAGGUAGUAGUUUUUGGCGUGGAUUAAGAAAUUUUGGGUAUGUUUUUGCUAUUUUUUGUAUAAUAGAUUCUUCCUAGGGCUGGUUGAAAGUGGUAGUUUUUUGUUAAAUACUCUACAUAUUGUAAGUAGGAGUGAAACUUAAGCUUUGGAAGCCAAUAAGCAAGGCUAGUUACAUAGUGCAUAUGUGUACAUGAUUGAAAGUAAAUAUCAACCAUGAGUGACUAAUAUCUUGAUGGAAAACUCGAAACUAUGGAAUACUAGGAAAAAAAUGCAUGGUUGGAAAUACUAGCAAUGUUCAUGUCCGUUGCAACGAAUCAUAAUUAGAAUAAUACUUAUUCACAAACUUGGUACAAAACACUCUAAUUUUGAUAUACAUAUGUCACUAGAGAUAUAUUAUGUUUCAAUUAGAAUAUAUUCCUUGGGCUGUUUUGGUGAGGUCAGGGAGGGAUGUGGUUGGUUUUAAGAUACUAAUUAUGGGUUUUUCUGCAAAUUGGUAGACAAGUGGGAUGUUGGUGAGAAAAGGCAACAACUUACCUCACAAUCGUUAGAUGUAGAUCUAAUGGUCAGAAACGACGGAUGGCAGACACACCAGCAUCACCAACUUAGUCUUGUGCAGGAGUACUAGCAAGAUCCGUGCACUGCACGGAACAUCAAGAUGCAUUUUUUUAGAAAACACUUGUUGUGAUUGACCCUUGCGGGAGUAAUCCCAUGUGUAAAAACUAAUGAUAUCUCGAGAAAUAUGAGAUAAGGUGAAUAGGAGUGGGGUGUGGUGGUGGUUGGUGGUCAGACUGAGCGGAGGCAUGGGGAUUGACGACGCCGGCAGCGGCCACCAGGCCAGUUUGUUCCAGAGGCUUCCUUUCUUAAUUGCUCAACAAUGAGGUUUGUUGGAGAUAGGUAUGAACGAGGGAAGGCCUUGUCUGCAAAUGUGGAGAGGGGUGCGGGUAUCUUUUAGUUUAAUUUCCAUCCGUCAGAUAUAGAUCGGACGGUCUAUAUUGCAAGAUGGCACACGUACCAUCAUCACCAACUCGGUUUUUUAUAAGAGAAGAAAUAUAAGUAUGGAGAUACAAACGUAUUAUCGAUACUUGCUUCCGUAAACUAGCAUCUACAUUCUAUUCAACACCUCGGCAUGUGGGGCCUUAGCACAAUGACUUCUCGACUGUGUAAAACAAAGAUUUUCCCGUCGCCGACAAGGAGGGGGUGACGGCGGCGCUCUUUUUGGCUUGCUCUAGUCCUAGUAGUCAUACUAGGUGGUCUAAGCACGUGUAGAUUUAUUCUUUUUCACGUCUCGUGUUCGCCGUACUGCCACAACUGUUGAUGAAUAGACGGUAAGUUAUUCACGGGGAAACCCUUGAUGAGCGUGUUUGCGAGAGAGAGAGAGAGAGAGAGAGAGAGAGAGAGUGCGUGUGUGAUAUGUUAGAGACUGAGGCAAUGAUAACAGAUUCUUUGUGUCUAUGUGUGUGGAGGAUAGAGAGAGACAUGUACAUGGGGCUUUGUGUUGUGUAACAUGGAGACACAUAUACAUAAUUAGAGAGUGAGUGUGUGAGAUACACAUGCGGACAUGGGGAGAGAUGAGGAUCCAGAUAAAUGGGUGUUUGUGCGUGUUUGUGUGUGUUUGUGCACGCGUUUGUGUGUGAGAGGGAGAGAGUGUACGUGGAGUAGAGAGACCACUGAUGAUGUAAACCUAGUAUAAGGGAAGGGGGAAUGGUAUGACAUGUGUAGUAGCGGGAUAGCACGGGUGCGGGCUGGGGGAGCAGACUAUUUGUAAGUGACAUCGAGUGUGUGUGUGGGAGAGGGGUGUGAGAGCGAGAGAAAGAGAGAGCUAGCGACGGAGAGAGAGUGAGAGGAAGAGAGGGGCGAGAGGGGUCGUUUGUGUCCAUAAAUGGCGUAUAGAUAGGGAGACAAUGUUGAUGUUGUCCGAAAUUGGCCUAUGAACGGAGACGCAAGGGAAGCGAGUCAUCGUGUGUGUGAUAGGGACUUCAUGAGAGAUCUAGAAUAGAUGGUGUAGAGAACAAUGUGCGAAAUCGAGAACGAUUAUACAUUAGGGAGCUAUGCAAAGAGUCACGACAUAUAUGUAUGCAGGGAAGGAGCUGGGACGGGUCCGCAUGUGGGAGAGAUAGAAAGAGGAGAGUGGUGCACAAGGAGACAAAGUGUGCUUGUUUGCAGUGGGGGUGGUGUGUGAGGUGAGUGCGCGAGAACCACAUAACUAGGGAGAUAGACGUUUGGGGGCGACAUUUUGUGUGUAUGGAAAUAUACACUCUACAUAGUGCGUGUGCUUGGGUAAGAGAGAUAGCGGGAGACCUAGAGAGUGAGGGAAGAGAUGUGUGCAUGCCCGAGAGACAAAGUGAUAGAGACCUAUGUUGGGGUCCGGACUUUACAAGAGAGAGGAGUGUUAAUGUGCUCGUGUGUUGGUGUUUGGGGGAGAGAACGACUUCUCUAUGUGUGUGUGUGUGUGGUGGUGGUGGGGGGGGGGGUUGACUUCAUAUAAAGAGUGAGGUGUCUAUAUUUGAGGGACUUCAGCGUAAUUUAGAUAUUGUGCACUCAUGGUUGAUCCAUUUGUUUCACAGUUUGUACUAUGAGAUAACGAUACUUUUGAACAUGCGUGAUAUACCUUGAUGUACCAGAAUUACAAACCUAAGAUUAGAAUUUUGGAAUUCGACUCCAUCAUUAGCUUUUGUAAUUCAUUUAAACGGAGGUACAUUUUUUAAGCCGGGAUUUCGUGAUUUCAAAUUCAUAUAUCAAACCUAGAGAUAUACACAUACGGGCAUGUUCAAACUUUAUAAUCAUCCACUUUAUUCAUACACAUACACAUUUUUGCUUUUGUCAUCAUAUUUAGGAUAAACACAUUUGGAAUUUCAUUUGAAUUGGACCGUAUGAUGGUAUUUGCUUGUAGUAGCUCAAUGAUCCAUAUUUGAAUUGAAUGGACAAUCUAAGUUUCGAGUUGGAGACAUUGAUUUUCAAAACUUGCACUUUUUUUUGCGUGCAAAACAAACAAAUUGUCGGCCAUGAUAUCAUAGUCGGCCGUAUGAGAGCAGAAUACUUAUAAUUUUAGGCGCCAAAAGCUUUCAAACUUUCCGCUCACAUCGAAAUAUCACGCGCCCGAAAGUUUAGCCCUGCGAUAUUCCUGUUUUACCCCUGCCACAUGAACGGAAAAGGGCUGCUUUUGUAACUCCAUUGUUUUCCCCUCUUCGCCCCCAACAUUCUUCCCCAGAGCCCCUCCCCUUCCCCUCCCCGACCCCCCCAACCAAGGCAAGCCGCCGAAUCUAGUCCUCCGCCGCAGCGGUGGACCUCACACCCCGCCGGAUCUACCUUCCACACCUUGGAACCCCCAACUGCCAACUCACCACUUCNNNNNNNNNNNNNNNNNNNNNNNNNNNNNNNNNNNNNNNNNNNNNNNNNNNNNNNNNNNNNNNNNNNNNNNNNNNNNNNNNNNNNNNNNNNNNNNNNNNNNNNNNNNNNNNNNNNNNNNNNNNNNNNNNNNNNNNNNNNNNNNNNNNNNNNNNNNNNNNNNNNNNNNNNNNNNNNNNNNNNNNNNNNNNNNNNNNNNNNNNNNNNNNNNNNNNNNNNNNNNNNNNNNNNNNNNNNNNNNNNCACCACUUCACCGGAGCCGCUUCAGCGACUGGCUUGUCCACCGCUCCAGAUCUCCUUGACCGCCAUCAUGGUCCACUGCACCAGAUCUGCUUAACCGCCGCCCUCCACCACAGCGUAGGCCCUUCACUGACUCCCUCCGCCCCUUCGCUAGCCCUUCAUACAAGCCCUCGUCCGAUGCAACAGAUCCGCCUCACCGAAAGCACUAUACAACGCGCCCGCCGAAGCCUUCGUCCACUGCACCGGACCCGCUCCACGGCCCUGCUUUACUGACGCCACAGCCUCAUCAGGUUAUUUCGAUUUGUACUCCUUCGGUUUUUCUCUUUAUCGUGCAACUGUUCACUUACCACAGAUGAGCUUUCUUGUAUGUCGACAGGCGCCGCAACCGUAGCACCGGAGCCGCUUCAGCGUCGGCGACAGCCGGCCCAAACUCAACUGCAACACGAGCACCAUCGACGAUCCUUAGCUAUCAAGUAUGACAACGAUACCCAUAUGCCGCCGAGAAUCAGGUACUAUUAUCGAACGGCCGGCGCCUACGUUCACUUUCCUAGCAUAAGCACCGCACCUUUGAAUUUCUUCAGGGCAACUUAAAUAUAGCGGUUGUACACUCCCUUUCAACUUUCAUCUUACCAUUUUAAUUUCUUUUCGGCGGAUGCUGCUUCGAACCAUUUAAAUAUAGUUUGCCAUGCUCGGCAAUAAUUUGUCCGUCAUUUACCAUGUAAGCUUACUGCCUGGAUCAUACGAUAAUUAUCUCUUACUUAUGUCCAGCGGAAACCUUCCAGGAUGCCGUUCACACUAGGACACAAUGUACAACCCCAGAAUCUAUUUGUGGAAGCAGUGCGCCAACCAUGUUACCAGAUGGUAGCAGUUCAGACGCAACACCGCCGGAGAGCAGUCUGAGCAUAGAUAUUAUAGUCCUUGAGGCUCUACUAGAGGCAGAAAGAGAUGGUGUGGCUGCCAUGAAUGAGGUAAUCUUUAUCUUGAGGCUGGAAAUUACGGAAUUAGCGGCACGCAUUAUGCAAGCAACCCAAGAAUUAGAGGAAGUAAGAAUGUUGCAUUUGAAGACGGAGGAGGUCCUGCUGUUUCAGCUAUCUGAAGCCCAAGGUAAUCCCAGUUCUUCUUUAGAUACCACUUGAAAUUGUCAUUAGAUUAUUGUACUUGCAUGUUGUGUCAUGUCUCUGAAUGGAUUAUGUUGCAAGACCCCCUAUGUUGUCUGGAAUUCCAUGUUGUCCAUGUGUUGUAAUGAUCCGAAUUUUUUAGGCGAGGUAAUCCUCAGAACUUGUAUGAUUGACAUAAGGUGAACUGUUUUUCGUGUGAGCAUAUUGUAUUGGAUGAAAUAACUGUUUGAAUCAGAGUGUAUCCAACCUACUGAAUUCGAAGAUAACGGCAUUUCUAAAUCAUAAUCAUAUAUAAAGGUGGAAUAAAUCUUUGUUGUGGUUUUGACGAAAUAAAUAACAAAACGUAUAAUUAUCUGUGGAUAUUCGUAAUCGAAUACAAAUUGGAUUUGAAUUUAGUUUGCCAGGUCCCAGGGCAAACGUGAAUGCUAAUUCUCCCAAGUUUUCAACGAAGCGGCUAAACACCCACUAUAAUUUGUGGGCUGCCCGAAGCAAGUGUUUGCGAGAUGGAAAUUACUGUCUACCCCUGACACUUGACAUCCUUAUCGACCGGAUUUACACUGCUGUCGAUAGGGGUAGACUAGUAACUUCAAUCAGACGUGACACGACGGCCUCUGAGCCCAUUCAGACACGGUGGGCGGCAAAACACAUUUGAUUCAAGCUCGUCCGAAAGACAUGUGUCUCUUCCUCCAUUUCCCCAUUCAUACACGGUGGGCGGCAAAACAAACUCUCCUCGUCCGAAAUCGAUGUAGGCUAAUAUUUUAAAUAGGGGCAGAUGUGUAACUUCCAUCAGACGUGACACAACCGCCCUACCUGUCAGCCCCGUUCAUACACCGUGGGCGCCAACCGUGGGCGGCAAAACACCCUCUCCUCGCCCGAAAUAGUUACCAGCAAAUAUUUGGGAGAUGCGAGAUUACCGUCCUAUCCCCAACCGACGCGAUGUCUGAAAUUUUAAACGGGGGAUAAGUUCGUAACUUUCCCCCAUUUCAGAGAAGCGCGUCCCAAAGUUUGAGAUCCCCCCUCCCCUCCAUUUCCCCAUUCAUACACCGUCGGCGGCACGACAACCUCCGCACUGCGGCCAGCCUCCUCCGUCCGCCACCCCAUUCUCCACCUUGCCGGAGCCGCUACCCCUACCCCGUCGUCCACUGCAAGAGAUGGACGUCUCUCAUCCACGGAGCUGGACCAGGAUCCUUUCAUCGCCUCCUCUCGUUUCAUCGGUGCCGUCGUCCACCUUGCCGUUGCCGCUCCUACGACCGCCUCGUCCACGGCAAGAGGAUAUAUCCCCCGACCCGGCCGUCUGCCGUCUAAAGUCUUCUUCCCGGCCGCCGACAGCCAUCGCACCCACAGCACCCUCAACGUAUCAGCAUAGGCCUACACGGCGUCGCAAGAGAGGUGGUACUCUUCCAUAUGUGCUUAAGUUAUUGAUCUCACUCGGAAAAUAGAUCGUAAUUUGUUUACUGUACUUUUCUUGUCCGUACCAAAUCGUAGUGGCUAGUUGAAAGCAAACAUUGGUUGCGAAGUAGCUUUGUCCAGUUUGCACCUUCAGAUCCGCCAUGGCACGGGCACUAUACUCGUAAAGCUUAUGGUUUCCCCCCUUUAUAUUCACUACCAUCAUCGUAGGUGCUUCGUGUCAUGCUAGCACUGCUCCUCAAGACCUCAACCCAAAGCUUACGUGUUGAAAUACGAAUCUGAUAUGAUGCUCAUAUCACUAAAACAGAGAACGUUUAAUUGGUCACCUAAUGUUCCUAUAUUCAUUUCAAAAAGCAUGUGCGCCACCCACUGGUCCAGCUAGUUCCACUUUCCUGAUUUUUCUCUUUAUGCUUAGGGUUUUCCCCUUUUAUCUACUCUACUAUGAUCUCCGUAGGUGCUUUCUGUCGUACUAGCAUUACUCCACACUUCAAGCUAAACAACACAACACUCAGAAUUCAAAAGCUUAGUUGUUCAUAUAUGAUUGUGAUAUGAUACUGAUAUUAGUUAACCGACACAUUUAAUCGGUUAGCUAAAGGUCCCACUUGAGUUUCCAAAUGCAUGUCGCGACAUAUAGAGAGACAGCAUAAUUGCAUUUCUUUGUCACUUGUUGACCGUACUUUCUUGUCCAUACCAAAUCUUAGUUGGUAUUUCAAAGCAAACAUCGGUUGCUAACUACCCUUUGCGCGGUUUGCAGCUUCAGAUCUGCCAUCCCACUGCCACGGUCAACACUGUACUCAUCAUGCUUAUGUUUUCCCCAUUUUAUGAUGACCACAAUCAACCUACGUGGUUCGUGUCGUAAUAGCACUGCUCCAUCCAUCGAGCUAAACAAGCUUAGUUGUACAAAUUCAUAUCUGAUAUUAUUGCUGAUAUUAGUAAAACUGAGAGAUGUUUAAUUAGUUAGCUAAAUGUUCCUACUUUAGUUUCGAAAUGCAUGUGAGCCACAUAUGGAGAGACGGAAAGAAUAGUAUUUCUCUGUGCGCUCUGGUUCAUCAUGGGUGGCCAACCGACAUUGUAUUGAAACACUUGUAAUAUCUUCAAUCUGCUUGCUCUUCUGCUCUUCUUUAAGAUGAUACUCUUCUCUUGCGGUCGACUGGUCAGGUCGAGUUGUUCUCCCUUAGUAUAUUUUGAAUCUGUCAGGUCAGGUCGACUUGUUCUUCUUUACUAUAUGUUGAAGCUAUCAUCUGCGAAGUGUCAUCACUUCUGGAGCUCUCAUAUUUUGAGUAGUAGACCACAUUAUAUUAAUGCACACAACAAAUUACAGCAUGCAUGGCAUCUUUUAAAAGAAUUGCACAGAUAGCACAAAGGGGUUUACAGGGAGGCAGUAUUGGAUUAGAAUCACUUAUGCAUUACAAAGAAAAUCUCACUUGUUUUUAUGUUUUCAUGCAUGUCAGAUAUUGAACAUUAUCAAAAUGAAUAUGAGAAUGGGCGCACGAGAGGAAUAUUGCGGAACGAUCCACUGGCUAACAAACUUGGCAUGGUGGAGGAUGGCCUAUCUUAUUCACCCAUCAAGGUGCUUGCUCUAACUUUGCAAAGUUGUAUUGGUCGCACAUAUUUUGCAUCUGACCUCUUGCAUUUCUUCUACUUUGUUACACCAUCUGCUUAGUUUAAGCAUCAUAUAUGAGUAUAUGCCAUAACUAUCCAUUUUCUGUACCUAUUCCAUGUGUCGUCACACUAUGUUUUUCCAGUAAAAUGUUGUUCUUUCGUGAUAGAUGUCCAAAAGGAAGAGGGUGAGUGCAGAUCCUCAAGGAGUACAAACUAGGUAUUUGGAAAAGGUAGUGGUACCUGUUAAAUCAGAUAGAUCAGCAGCCACAGAAAACACAGGCCCAACUGUACCACACUUUACCCCUACUCCAGUGGCCAAACCCCUAUUAGAACUGCUGGGAGCCCAGCGUCAGGUACUGUCUAUGAUAUCAAUUCAAAUUUUGAACUCCUAAAUUUCUGCUUGUGCCUUACCUUCUCUCUUGUAUGAAAACUAAUUUCAGAUGAAUCUCCUUGCUCAAAGGAUCAUACGAUCUCAAAACAAUAAUGGGCUCUGCAUUGCUCUUGUCAGUACCUCUCUCCCUUUUGCCUUGUAACGCUGUACUUAAUUAAUUGCUAUUUGAUUAUGUAUCAUCAGUCUGCACCUGAGCUUCAUUCUCCUCUGUUUCUUCCAAUAUUAUUUGAUCUAUAUUUACUCUUUGCAAAAUGUAGAAUAAUGGCAACGCUUAUAAAGAAUUUUCUUUGGGGAAUUUAUUGAAUUAUCCUUCCAUCAACAUGGAGAAGGGCUUUGUCCAGCCCAUGUUAACAUGUAAUGUAAGUUCAUCCUUCUCAAGCCUUCAAACUUUGUUCUAGUAUAGAUUUGGAUAGGCAUCAUUGCCUCCACUACUAUUUGCUUUGCUGUUUACAUCUGAUUGGAUGUUUGCAACAACUACCAGUUUCAACAUGUAGUUGUAAAAACAUGUUCCUUAUGCAGAACAGAUCCAUUUAUUUGCUUAUAUAAUUGUGAAACCUGUUACGUGUCUCCUUGUUUCUCUUUUAGAGUCGUAUCUCUUACGCCAGGUAGAACUUUAGGGAAGAUAGUGAGCCAAACCAUCUUGAGGACAGCGAGAUGACCCCAAGGUCCUGUCUUGAUGAAGACAGUGAGUUGAAGCUACUCACCAACAGGUGUGAGACAACCUCUGUGCAGUCGCUGCCUCAAUCAGUUCGACUUCUUCAGUGUCAACUUAAAGCGGAAAGGCUUGCUUCAGCUCAGCUCCGACUUGAAGUCAAAGAGGCAGUGAAGAUGUCAGAGGACUGCCGUGCGCACCAUCAUGCCUUAAAUCUAGUGUUGAUGCAUCUAUCGUUGACACAACUGAGGUCUACUCAGCUUCUUCAGCUGUUUGGGGGGGCCGACCUGGCCAGGCCUAGUGCCUUCUGAAGUGCUCUCAGUUUUGUAUAUUCUUUUGUCAGCACGUUUAUUUGCACUGGUGGCGAACUUCGAUGCCUAGUGGAUGUAAUAUGUGUGAUAGCCGUGAUAGCCUAGUGUAAGUUGCUUUCUUAUUUAUUUCCUUGUUGUCUUUUUUAUUUGUUUGCUUGUAGUCAUUGUAGUUCUUUUUCCGCGGUUUGCUAGUGGCUGCAAUAACCUAUUUUUUAAAACUAGGCCACAAUAACCAUGGGCUAAUAUUUACUGUAGUGACACUGGGCCUCCUACGGGCCGUAGAAACAGUGGGCCUUCUACGGGCCGUAGAAAUAGUGGGCCUUCUACGGGCUGUAGAAACAAUGGGCCUUCUACGGGCCGUAGAAACAAUGGGCCUUCUACGGGCCGUAUCAUCAAUGGGCCUUAUACGGGCAGUAUGAUCGAUUGGCCAAACAUGGGCCAAUAACAGGCCGCUUUAUGGCCGUAAACGGGCUAGAGUUGGAAUCGUCCGUUCAUGGGCCGACCAUAACGGGCCAUCGUUAAUAGGCCGUAUUUCAUGACGCUAUGAAAACGGCCCAACGUGUUAACGGACCACAAACGGGCCGACUGUAGCCACGGGCUGAAUUUGGCCCAUAAGCAGAAAAUGACAGUAGUGGGCCGUAAGUAAAUGAAUGCUGGAAAUGAGCCCAAGAAUAAAUGGGCUCUGAGAAGGCCGAAAGAUAACAUGGGCUGGAAACGGCCCAACGGAAUAACGGGCCCUUAAUGGGUAUAAAGUGAUACACUGUUCAUUACGGGCCAGUUUCACCACGGGCCGUUAAUGGGUGUAAAGUGAUACACUGUUCAUUACGGGCCAGUUUCACCACGGGCCGUUAAUAGGCCAAGAGUUACAUAGGGCCUCAUAUGGGCCGAAAGACGUCAUAGGCCAUACAUGGGCCAGAAGUGAAAACAGGCUGGAAUCAUAUUGGGUGGCCCAGAUGACGCUACUGGGCCUAAUUCGGAUAGGGUGUAACGGGCCUUGGGUUAGAGGGCUGUAAAUGGGCUAUAUGCGAAUACGCCGUUAACAGGCUUUACAUGGGCCGGCCCGCCACCUUUUGACCAAGUCAAACGGGCCGGCCUUUUCAUAGGAAUGGGCCUCUGUUAGGCCGUGCCACGUGUCGACGUAUCAUAGGCGCCUUCUGUCCAAUGAGUGGAUGACAUAUGUCCCAACGGUGAGCCGACACGUGUUUCCUCCAGCCAAUGAUGAUUUUACACAUGGAAAAUCCCCAUUGGUCGGGGCUGUUAACGGGUUAUCGGAUCCAAAACCUGACCCAAUAGCUUAACGGCGUUCCGUUACGGUGGAUGCCACGUGUCGGUCACCCUUGACGAAAGCACUUCUGUGACGCGUGAUUUAUCGUCAUGGAAGUGGACACUUCCGUGAUGAUAAUUUUCGUAAUGUCGUGGAACACUUCUACGACAGCACAGGUAUGACUAUCUUGAUUCUGUCAUAAAUUUGUCAUGGAUGUACAUGCAUGACAAAAAACGCAACCUACUGUGACAAACACGUAUCAUCACGGAAGUGUAUUUUUUUUGUAGUGCUAUCGGUCUCUCGCCUGUAUUUGGCCUUGGACGGAGUCUACCGCCCGAUUUGGGCUGCAUUCCCAAACAACCCGACUCAUUGACAGCGCCUCGUGGGGCGACAGGGUCCGGGACGGACAGGGCCCUCACCCUCCCAGGCGCCCCUUUCCAGGGGACUUGGGCCCGAUCCGUCGCUGAGGACGCCUCUCCAGACUACAAUUCGGACGGCACAGCCACCCAAUUCUCAAGCUGGGAUGCUCCCGGUUCGCUCGCCGUUACUAGGGGAAUCCUUGUAAGUUUCUUCUCCUUCGCUUGUUUAUAUGCUUAAACUCAGCGGGUAGUCCCGCCUGACCU